rnacentral:lncRNA from 1 species
AGUGGAAGUCCAGAUGGUGCGUCAUGCGAAAGCUGUCUCCGGUUGCAGGUAAAUAAUAAAAUACGUCUACACUAACAUUUCAGUAUUUUUAAUAUUAAAUUAAUAAUAUCCCGUCGAAUCCGCGGUCUUGUACAUACAAUAUUAUAAACGCUCCUCCGCCAGUUUCGAAAACGUUUUCGAAUGAAUUACUUUUAUAUUAUUGCUGAUCUGGAGCACGAAGAAUUUUUCUCAGAUUCUGCAGUUUACCUUCUUAUUAUUAUUUUACUUCCGGCGUCAUUUAAUAGACCACCUACUAUAAGAGUUUCCGCCAAGCCGCGAUAAUCCCCGUCAACAUUGCUCGAUAACGAACUCUCCGCAAUCCCCAUUCUUGUGUACUCCCAUUCUAUCAAAUUCUUCUUCCAAAACAUCCGACCCAUAUUUUCGUACACGUCGACUCCGAGGUUUCUGGCUCGUCGAUUUCUUAAAUUCAGAAAUGCCGUCCCGUCAAUCGUCCUAGUCUUUGUCCUCGUACGAUACUCCCACGGUCUACUCGUGUUAUCACUUAAAUCGGCCCACGCAUUGCAGCCCUCCGUAUUGUAUUUUAAAACUUAUCUAGUCUUCGUUUAUCGCGUUUAAAUUUUACCUACUGGUUAGUCUAUGUACGUUAUGUAAUUGUAAUAUGUAAUUAUGUCUUAUUAUAUAUUUUUAAACUGUUGUACAUAAAUCGGUAAUCAAAUACUUUUCCUCGAUCUGUGAAAGACUGAGGCUUUUCGCUGCAAGUCCGACGGACCACCUCGCUUGUCUCAUCCAUUUACAUAAAGCCGAUCUCUUCAUAUUGACAUAAUAGGUACCACGAUUAAGCAAUUACGCCUUACGUGUCUCAUCAUAUUUCUUCGGCAAACACCUUCCUGGCUUCCCACAGGGUCUUCUUCGUCCUAUACGAUCCGUACGCCCGUCCGAAUCGUUAAAAAAUUAUUAUUAUAUUAUUAUUUAACGACGGGCGCACGCUUUCAGCAGGCAUCCGUUUUACCCCCUUUUGGGGCACAAAAAGCGCCCGCCCAAUUGUCUGUCACUCACAGCAUUAUUGUCGUCGUCUCUUAACUUCCGUUAAAACAUACCGCGUAUACCACGAUAUUAUCACACCCGCGACGAUUGUUUUCACGUCCGACCGUAAUAUGGGACCCCCGACAGCAGGUCAACGAGACGUCUACCCCGGGGCAUAGAACAAUACACUCGUAUAUGCGUAACAGUUUUCAAUGUAUUUACGUGCACGCGCCCGCGUAGUUGAAAACGUGAAGCGUAUUGGAUACGUGUUGGAUAAUAUACAACAUCUGGUGCACUUCAAAUAUUCAAACAUUCACUGUAAUUUGCAUAAAACAAAAUAAUAAUAAUAAUAAUAAUAAUAUAGGUAAGUAUAUUGAAAAAUAUGUACGGAGUCUACUGCACUGCACCAUAUCAUAUCCUAACAGUAUAUACCGCGCUGUCGGUAAAUUUGUUGAUUUAAAAAAAAAAAAAAAAACAAUUAAUUAAUUAAUUAAAAAAACCUACACCGGUCGCACUAUACCGAACGAACGAAAAUAACCAGCAAAUUUUUUAUACGUUGCGGCCAUCGCUUUUGCAGUGUUAUGAGAAAAAUAUUAUGUAUCGUUAAAAAAAAUGACAAUUUUUACUAGAGUCAUACAAGAUAUACACGGAUUUAUGAUUUGUAAAUAUUGUAAUUACCUGUAUUACGGAGAUCGGAUACCGAUAUUUUCUAUUGUUGUCAAACUAACUGAGCCCACUGAGACCGAUUUUCUGCGAUCUAUGCUCUGUGAAGCGAUACAGAACACAGAUUCGAAUUCAACGUAAAGUGUACACCGCGAGAUCGGCCACAAUAGUUUUUUGAAUUUUGGUCAGUAAUAAUAUACUUAAAUGUAUGGGGGGGAGGGACCGAAAUUAAAUCAUUUAAUAAGUGUUUUUUAGACGUCGCGAACGUCGUUCAAUAUGGAUAUUAUUCCGCUUGAUAUUUUUUUCGGGAUAGGUACCGCGGUAAAACAACAAUAACAUUUUAAACGCCGUUGAUAAAGUACAUAGAUAAAACUUUAACGGCUAACGAAGGCCGUAACUCGUAUCAACGCGCGCGCACACGUGCGCGCGUUCGAGUGUGUUCUGAUGAUUUAUUUACUGCGGUUCGCGAGAAUAAUUUAAUACAACGUGAACGAUUUUAAUGGAUUUUUCAAGAGCUGUGUAAUAUAUAUAUAUAUAUACUGGAAUUACGAUGUAAACUUCACUAUAAUUAUGAGGAAAAACAAAAAAAAAUGAUAACGGCCCUCAAAAAAUACAUACAAUUUGGUCAGGUUUCGAGAUAUAUCACGUCGUAUGUUUGAUGAACGUUUUGAGUGUUUAUUUACCUAUAAUAUUAUUAAUUAACGGGUUAUUUUUUCGCUUUUUCUAUAUGCACCGUCGCGAACUAAAACAAUAUUACAUACUUACUUUGUAGUCGGACGCGCACUCAGCAUUUUCGUUUGGGGGAGCGCUCUUCUACCUAUAUAACUUCUUCGUCUUCGUUCGCUCUACAGCGGCGUUAAGUACCUCCGCGGUCGUAACAAAACACCGUCCAUAAUAAUUCUCUGUAAACCGAGGAUAUUCUUUCCGAUUCGUAAUACCAAUAGUCGAUCCGUGUCUUAUUUUAUUUUAUUCCUUUCGUCGUAUAACACCGGUCUCUUGAUUUCUUCUCCGCGGUUGGAUUCCACUCGACCGGUAGCUUUAUUCAUUCUGCACUCUCUUUCUCCAUAAUCACACUAUACGACCUCUCAUCUGUAACAUACAUCGCAUAUAAUUAUAAUAAUCAAACUGGAGAUAAUUUUAAAAAACCGUCGUAAAUUAUCAAUACAUAAACUAACAAUAUUAUUAUUAUUAUUAUUGAUUUUUUGAUAGAAGACUUUCAGUCCCUCGUUUUUUUCAAGUAAGCGUCACCAAAACGGAAUUCCCCAGAGCGUAUAUUUUACGUUAAAAAAAAAAAAGUAUUAGGUAUAUUUAAUGAUUUGCCAUGUGCUUAAAAUAAUAUUUUACAACUAGGUCUCAUAAUUUAUCUUCCAUCUAUUUACACGAGUAUGUAUAUUAAUAAAAAAAAGUGCAAUACACACACAGAACCGGAUGAACGGGUCCGUGUGUAUAAGUACCUCGAAGCAGGAUUUCUGAAAGUCAACCACUUCAUGCAGGGUUAUUGGUAUUUUCGGUAUACGAAAAUUGUAUUUCCUUUUCUUUUUUCUUUUUUUUUUGUCAGAGACACCGAUGAAAAAAUAUUUUUAUUAGUCGAUUUGGUUAUUAUGACGGGCAAAAGAAACGAUCUUUUUUUAAAACAUAAAUUAUCGUACGACGACAGCUUACGGGACGGAGGUAGAAACGGGGUAACAAAGGGACACACGUUUUUAUUUGUUUAUUUCGUUCAAUACCGUGUACGGACAAAGCCCUUACGGAAAGAAUCUAGCUCAUAAUGGACAUGUAAAAAUGGUCAUUUAGCAAAAUUGCCGGCGAAAAAUAUAACCGUUUACCUAACGAAAUGGCCAGAGGAAAAUUUUCGCCGUGUCCAUAUUUCCCUCUAUUGAAGGAUAUUGUAUAGCUAUUAACUAUCUGAAAUCGCGUUUAUAAUAUUAUUUUCUACGCGGUUUUUUUAUUUUCUGAAUAUUAACUUUUUCGACCAUUAUCACUUUGAACAUAAUUAUUAUAAAGGCAAUAACGGUAAUGAAAUACGGCCGUAGAAAAGAUUUUUUUUUACCAACCGAUCGUUUUUUUCGCCCGUGGGCCAUUUUUGUUUUUGCAAUUAUCACCGUACCGCGCGGGACAGUAGGUAGGUACUUCACGAAACAACGAAAUUGUUUAAUCUAUUAUUUACAGCAUUAUAUUGGUGUAUAACGUAUGGUAUCUUUCAAAUGGAUUCUUUUCAAUUUUACACUCGGGAACAUUGUUCGGUCGCUAAGUAGCCCUCGUUGAUGUAAAAUAUUAUAAACUCGCGCGGCGUACGUUACCCGCCGGCAACUGUGGCCUCGGUUGACAUCCGGGACUUUGGUCCGUGACGCCGCAGAGGGAAGUGAAGUCGUCUAAACACAAUUUCUCGAUUUGUAAUAUUCCUCGGGGGGACGGGGGGGACGAGAGCGAUAUUUUUAUGCAAUUGUAUAGAUUCUUGCGUACAUAAAUCCUUAUGCGCGUUUGUUUCCUUUCUAAUCGCGCACCCGACUGCAGCACGUCGGGGCUGUAAAUCGAAUUUGUUUAAACCGUGUGCGACGCCGAUGCAAACUACCCGAAUUUCCGUUCGAUAAUACACCACUUUUUUUUUUCAUAUAAUAUGAUGUAUACGUAAAUACGAUAUGUAUGAGCACGAGACAAACAACAUUUUAAUACUUUUUUUUUUUUUUAUUUUUUAUUUUUUUAAUAAAUUUUUUAUCGCGUCAAUAACCACACGCGUUAUACAAGGAUUGCGAUUGUAGCAGUAGUAAUCUACUGCUACUAUUAUUAUUAUUAUUAUCGCCAUAUCGUAAUAAAAUAAUUGUUAUCGUGACCUUGCAACUUAAUAUUAAUAACGGGUUUUUCUCCAUCAAUCGACGAUUGGCUCCGGCCAUAAUAGUAGGUUUUACUUUUUGUAUUCAUAUACAUUAUACCGCGGUAUACUCUCGCCGUCCACUGCCAUAAUAACAUUAGAGACGCGCACGAAUUCUGUCCGCCAGAAAACGUAAUAAUUUGUCCACAAUAAAAACGUAUCCCGAUAAGAUUCGAUAUUAUAAUGAAAAAUGUAUUAGCGACUUAUAUCGCGAUGUCACGAGGUCGUUUUUAUUUUAUUAUUUUUUUUUUUCUUUGACAUCACGUAAUAAUAAUACUCUUUUUCUGUAUUAUAAUACGACGCUAUUGAUAUAUGAUUCGGUGUCCGGCAUAUUAUUAUAAUUUAUAAUUGUAUUAUCCGCCAGAGUAUAUUGAACUCGUUUUAGAUUCUGAAUGGAGUAAAGAAGCUUAUAGUUUUACAAAGAUGUUUAUUUGUAUUAUUAUUAUUAUGAUUGUUAUUUUUUUUUUUACGUCAUCAACGAGUAAAAAAACUGAAAAGUAAAAUUAAUAAUUCCAAGUUUUGAUUUGACUUUUGACUUUUUAUUUAUGAAACUUUUAUCUCAAAUCGUUUUGUUUUGCUUUUGUUUAUGUUAAUUUAAUAUUGUGCCGAUUUGGUUUUAAAUUUUACCGCAGUGUAAGUUAAUUUCUACAAUUACUCGUGUUUAAUAUUAUAAUAAUACCAUCAAUCGCCGUUCAUUUCAAAUAAUCACAGAUCCUAGGUUUGUAAAUUUCGUCGUAUCAUCGGUUACCUAGAAAAACUCGGACAGAAGAAGCGAAAAACUACCAUAGACUUAAAAAUUCACUUACAUUUUCAAAAACAAAUGAAAACCAAAAUUUCGACUCACGAGGUUUUGAUGGGUGACCGUCGAUAUAAUAUAAAAAUGUAACCAAAAAUAAAAUUAACUGUAUUUCAGGAUAAAUAUUAUUGUUUUUGAAUUGUCAAAAUUAACUUUCAACUUAACAAUAUACAGCUAUAUAUUAAUGAUUGAUUUUUUACGCGUUAACUCGUUAAAUUUUUUGAUUGUGAGUGAAACGAGGUAGUCGAUUUUUCCUGUAGUUUAUAAACAAUAAACCCUGACGAUUUAUCGGAUAAUUUUUAUUGACUUUUGGGUUACAUAAGGAAUAACUGAAAAAAUAAUUACUUAUAACACUUUGUUCAGAUUCGUUUUUCAGUAAUGGUUGUUCUAAUCGUUGCGUACAGAUAUAAGUUAAAUUAUUUCAUACGCAUUAUAAUCCCAUCCAAUUUUUUGGUAAAACACCCAUGAGCUGUAUUAGAAUUUUUUUUUUUUUUUAUAGCUUUUAUUUCUUAACUUUACCACGCGAGUCAAGUAUUAUUCGUUAUUAUAACUCGUUUAAUCUUGUUUUUUACCACUUAAAAAAAAAAAAUCGUUAUUUUAUCGCAUUUUACAUGUUAUUUAUACCUACUUAUCGCGAGGGUAUACUAUAAUAAUAUAAUACCGUACUUUCUCACGAUAAUAUUAUUAUAUUACCUAUCUAUCUUUAAUAAUCGUGUGAAAACGAAAUCGUAACACAUUCGGACGGCGAUACGAUGGCGGCGGUGACUGCGGUGAGCGAAAAACUCUUACACUUAUAAUAAUGGAAAACCGGUGUCACGUUCUUCUGGCGGACUGCACGAAAUACGCGUUCGGUUCGAAUAAUCCGCGGUGAUCUCGCCCACCGACUUUUCGACAAAAACAAAAAAUAAAAAAAACAUUCUUAUAAAUUGAUUCGAUAUUACAUUAUUUCAUAUUCGUUUAAGGCGAGAAAAAAUUACGCAGCAUCCGCGCCGUAAUAAUAUCUUAUGUAACGCAAAGCCAUUCGAUAUCGUUUCGCAACAAUAAAUAUAAUUUUAUUUGAAAAAAAAAAAUCCGGUACGUACUUCGAACAUCACGGGAAUAUACGUACAUUUAAUACGGGGUAAUUUAAAAAUGUAUACACCGUGAGCAACGAUAAAUCGUCACGAUCAAAUUUGUGUUUCUCUUAUAGCCUGAUGCUGCAAGGUCGGUAACACAGAAAUCGACCAAAAGUAAAACUGGCGUUCGAGACAUUUGUUGUCGGUUGUUUUUUUUCUUUUUUCUUUUAUAGUAGACGGUUGGAAUUCCAGUUUAUUUCCAAAUAAUGUACUGUCCGGUAAAAAAUUUUAAGAUACAGAUACGGAAAAAUCGGAAUACGUUGACUAACCCGAAAGUAUUUUCUGAGAAAAAAAAACACCUGUGUAAAACUUUAUGACAGUUUCUUUCGCUCUAUUCAGAAUCUAAAAUACCUAUUAUUGAAUAUUUUGUACCGGGUAUAGCUGCUUUUUUUUCAUAUAUACAGUCGAGACGAGACAGGUGCGAUUUUAAAUAUAAUAUUAUGUUUUUCGUUUAUUCCGUACGGAGAAUAAUAUCGGGUUAAUUUUCUACUCGUGGGGUACUACAACAAGCGGAUCACGUGUAUAAAUAUAUUAUAAUAAUAAUAAUAUGAGAUACGGAAUCUAUUAAACUCUAUAACUAUAGCACUCGUUAUUUUCGCAAACGCAUCAUUAUACGUUAAAAUUCAUGAAUAUUAAUAAAUGUUUGUACGAAAAUUUUAACGGUUUACACGUAUAGCCAUCGCUGUACGUGUCUAUAUAUAUAUAUAUAUAUAUAUAUAUAUUAUGUGUGUGUGUGUGUGUGUGUGUGUGUAUACCUAAUAUUAUAUAGAAUAAUAUACGAGUACAAUAAUGAGUGUGCCUAAGUAAUUAUUCAAAAUAUUUGAAUUUGCCCGUCGUAAUAGGUACAUUGUUGUAGGUAUUGUAGGUAUACUCGAGUGAAUAUUUAUAUUAUUGCGAUUGUUAUCAAUACAACAUUGUAUAUCAGUGGCGUACCUAUAGACAGAAAUUUCCCGAUGAGACGGAGAAGGCGCACUAUAGAUAACUGGGCCGUUGAAAAAGGUACAAUUGUAUCUUUUUUAGUUUAUGCAACGUGUUUAUUGUACCUUGUAUCGAGAUACUCUUUAUAUUUCAGUAUCAACUGGCAAGUACCUUUUUGUACCGAAAGAUAAAAGAUAAUAGAACAUGCUUUAAUAUAUAAUUGAAACAAAAUAAACGAAAUAGCGAAAAACCAAAAGAGGUAAACAUGUGUUGCAAAUUUCAUGCUUUUAAUCUUAAAAAUUUAAAUAAUUAUUUACUCGUAUUAUAAAAUACUAAAUAGUUAUAAAGUUCCGUGCUACUCUAGGACCCUAUGUACGAUAAACAAAGAUUAAAAAGGUAGUACGGGCUCCUCAGAUCCUUCCAUAAAUACGCCACUAUAAUAGUAUGCCAAUAAUUGUGUACAUUAUAACGUACAGUCAGUUUAGAAAUCAAACUAAAUGUCUAACGUCGUUCCAUUUUUCUAUUACUUACCUAACUCUCGUAAUAUAAAAAAGCAUAUAAAUAAAUAUAAAAAAUAAAAAUAAGGCACUUAGUAAAACGUCUAGGCGUUUAGUGAAAUGGUCGUUUCGACUGAAUGACUGACAUAGAAAUGCGGCCUCUGUGAAUUUACCCGGUAAAAUUUAGGUGCAUUUUACCGAUUGAAAAUCGAGUGACCCCUCAUUUCAAUUGUUUUUUGUUUUACGUAUUCUAACGUUUGAUUAAUUGUAUAUUUCCACAUUUAACCCGGUAACACUGGCAACGCACGCGACAAUAACAAAUUAAAUAACAUCAUAUACAUCUAAAAUCUAACCAUAUAGGCGAGCGCACGCGGAGAAGAUGGGGGGGGGGCGUUCGUUCAUUCAAUGUCAGACCCCCGAAAUGUGUUUCCAGUCACGGUCAUGCGACUCGACAUUUAAGUGCGGAAAUAAAAAUUUCAAAACAUUUUAUCGUGCUUUUAUUACAUAUUUUUGUACAUAUUAUAUAGGUUGUAGGUUUUCAUAAAAAAAAUAUUUAAAAAAAAUCUUGGGGCAGGUACCCUGGUAAAUUUACAGAAAAAAAUUAACCUGUAAAAUCGAUAUCUCUGCCAGGACAAUAAAUGUAAAUAAUAAAUUUUAUUAUUAUCAUGUCGACAUGGUAAUAACAUGUUCUAAAUCAUAUUUCCUCACGUUAGUAACCAGUAUGGUUCGCAGUGUUUGACCGCAACAUAAUAUUAUAUAAUACAAAUCGACGAACAAAGAUAAAAAAAAAAAAACAUAAAAAGAAAUAAAGUUCAAAGACAUACGCGUUCUCUGAAACAUUUAUAGUUAUGCGUUGUUACCUCUCUGUAAGUCGUUCGCUAUUUUUUUUAUUUUUUUACUAUUAUUAUCGUUAACACAUUUGUUUUCGUAGAACGGAAUAUUUUUAUUUUGGGAAAGCGACGUAGAAUUCUUGAAAAAAAAAAGCCGCUCAUGUGUUGUAAUAAUAAUAAUAAUAAUUUUAAUUGUAAUAGUAUGUUUUUUUUUUUUUCUAACCAACACGAUAACAUUUAAACCGUUUAUAAUACAGAAUAUAUAGUGUAAAUGCGGGUCAGAGAUCGCACGUGCUAUUAACGAUUAAAAAAUUAUAUUUUAGCAACGAGAAAAUAUCUAAAAUCUAUGGUUUUUUUUUUUCAAAUUUUCAGUCGCGUACACGCGUAAUAAAUUCCGCGUGGCUUCGAAAACCGAGCCGCCAUCACGAUCACCCCCUUUAUAUUUGAACUUAUAAUAAUAAUAUUAUACGAGUGCAGUGUCAGUGUCAGUGUGUGUGUAUGUGUGUGUGUGUAUUGUUUUAUUACUCGGGCCCGGUUGAAAAUUUGCAUAGAACAAAACCGCCAAACGGUCAUUGGAAACAGUUCUCGUUGUGUAUAUCAUUUUUUGUUAUAGUAUUAUUAUAGCGUGUGUUGCAGACGUUAUCCUUAAAUUAUUGCGCGAACACAACGCCCUCGUGAAUAAUAUUCCGGUGUGACUAUACGCGGUAAAAUAAUAUAUUAUAGUAUAUAUGCUGGUGUAGGUCGGCUCGGACGGAUUUCCGUAUAUCGACUCGUCGCAUCGUCUUUCUAAAAAAUGUCGAAUUUUUUUUUUAUAAUUUUCACCGAAUCAAUCGCUUAAAUUCGUCAAUAACAUUAUAUAAUAUACCAGCUCGCUUUUCUUAACAAACGCCAGAGACCCAAAUAUAAUACAAAGGGAGGUGCCUAGAACGCAAGGCCGUAUAAGUGACGUUUUAUUGAUUUCGAAAAAAUCAAGUUUAAAAUCAUUUGUAUUUAAGAGGACGUUUCACAUGCAUUUGUUGUUUCCGUCUUACAAACACAAGGUACAGUAAAAACAUGCUUACGCAGACUAUACAAAACUCGCUUGGUUUUGGUUUUCGAGUAAAACCACUUAUUAUAAAAUUAACAAAGAAUUAUAUUACGGAAGACAAGACGUUGCGUUUUUUUUGAAAAAAUUAUUAUUAUUUUUAAAGUUUUAGCUAAUUAAAAACUCGCUUAAAAAGUCAUUAUUUAUAAACGGUAAAUUGACUGUUAUAUUCGGAGAAAAUAACAAAAACGCAACGUGUUCACCUCCGGAAUAUUGUUCUCUUUUGAUUUUGUCUUAGGUGAUUUUACUCUAAAACCAAAAUUAACCGAGUUCUGUGUAGUCUGCGUAAGCAUGUUUUUACUAUAUCGAGCGUUUGUAAAACGGAAACAACAAAUGCAUGUGUACUCCCGUACAUUUAAUUACAGUAUAUUAUCAUAUCAUCACUGUACCUUGGCACGAAUGAUGAAAAAAAAAAAAAGUUUUAGACACUUGGCGGUAAAGACACAUACAUGUGUUAACAGACGUUGUGCACACGCUUGUAUUUAUUUACUUCUAAACUAUUAUGGCGUUAUUGUUUGGAAAAUAUUUUAGUGUGAUCUAGUGUUUGAUAUUAGAUUGAAGAUCAUUACCGGAUUAUCCACUUAUAUUUAUUCACUACAAAAUAAAAUAGACAAUUUGUUGUUCAGUCGUGCACAUAAUUCAAAUUUUUUUAAAAAUUUCACUUAUACCUUUUGUGUUUUCUAGGCGCCUCGUAUAUAUAUAGGUUCUUACUCUCUACGCGUGUCCUAAACAAAUAUAGUGCACGAAGUACGCUUCAAUAUUAUUAGGCGUCCGUAAUCCGUAGUUCGGGCAUUGUUCGCAUUAUACGCGUACGCUAAAUACCAGCUACCUAUCGGUAUAGGUAAACCUUUUACGUUACCCGGGAACAUUCUUUCGACGUCUGAUACCGAACAAUAAUAAAUGCAAAACGUGCGCAACGCCUAAUAAUAUUAUUGUUAUUGUUUCUGCAAUGUUUUUCGUGUAUGAAACUUGUACGCAGCGUAUAGUUGUAUACAAUGUCUACCCGCAGGCCCGCGAGUCUAUACCUGCGUAAUCGAGUUUAAAAACUAAACAAAUUUAAUUCCGUCUGAUAAUUGAAAAUGAUAAAUUUGUUUUAUAAUAAUAAUUUUAGUACCCGCCCGGUUUCCGAGCGGAGUAAUAUUUCGAAAAUCAGACGCGCGGGGAAAAAAGGUCGACGGCUCGUUUUUAGCGAAAUAUUUCAUUUUAUAACAAGAUAGGUGCCUAAAUUUUUAUUAUUCGAAUGAACGUCGUAUUUUCGUUAAAUAUUCAGUAUAGGCGUUUGUGCGCUUUUCGUGUAUCGCGAAUAAUACGCGUAUACGAGUUAUUCGCUACAUAACCGCGAAUGCGUUAAGAAAAUAUGAUCAUAAUGUUAGCUGGGGAAAUGUCGUCAUGUAAUACAGUCGUGUUAAAACCACGACGAAAGACCUUGAAACUUACUGAUUACAAUAAUGUGUUACCGCGGUCGUGAUGUAUGCGGAACUGUUUAACCGAGAUAAGUACCUGUACGUAAUCACAUUUAAAUGCGUUACUUUCUACACGGGAGAUUUACAUGCAAAAAUUCGAAAAUGAAGACGACAAAAAAAAAAUAAAACAAAUUUUUUACCGUAUUAUUUAUACGUGAAAUCCUACAUAAAGAUAUUCGCGAAAGAGUACAAAAUUAAAAUAUUAUUAUUUGCCGUUUCGAGUGUAAAUACUCGUACAUUGAUCAAACGAGUGGGUAUACCCAUAUUGUUAUACUACCGAUUCGACGACAGUAUUGUCGUGUUUAUGUAAAUAUAUUAUAUUUUGUUUGGAAUCGAUGAAAAUAUUAUUCAUUCUUUGAUUUGACCGAUUUUUAAAUAUUCACAAUUCUGUGUAAAAAAAAAUAAAAAACGCUUUUUCUUAUAUUAUCUUUUAUUGUCGUGUAGAUCUAUAGUUAAAUGGGCAGCUAAGAUGAAUCCAGAAACCGAAAUCGAUAGUAAAUAAAUACUCACGACUUACUAUUACGACCGUCCGUACCAACCCAUAAAUAAUAUAGCGGUCAAGAGACGGAGACGAUUUCCGAACACCGGUGUAGGAUAAGGACUCGGUACUUUUACUUUUCAACCUUCAACAGUAUCACUUACAGUAUCACCUAGUGAUAAUCGCUCAUCAAUUUCGAGACGAACACAGUUAUUCGGUAUUAAUAAGGAUACGAUAAUGGAUAUAACUGUAACACUAUAAUAAUAUUGAAGACCCUUUGGAGUGGGGGUGCGGUUAGAUAAGGUUUUUCGACGUGACCGCUGUAAGGAUAUAAUAUUCCCUUAUCGUUAUUUUAUGACAACCGGACACCAUAAUACAAAAUAAAAUCUACUUAAUAUAUAAAACGUAUUGUUUUUUCAUUGGAAUUCGUGAUAUUACUUUGGAAUAAUAAUUUAACGUAUUCGUGAUACUGCUACGGUUAAACCAAUUAAUAUAAUAAUGUGUACGUUAAUUUCUUUGGAUUUUGUUCUAUACACGUGUAGUUACGCAAAUUUAUCGCAUUUGUUACCAUCGGCGUCAUUGCGCGUAUACACUUUCACACGAACGUGCGACUGAAUUUUUCCGACUGCGACCAAUCGUAUUAUUAUAUUGUUAUAGGAACGCCAGCUGAUUCAACUGAACCUGACGCAAGCGAUAUUUUUCCCGUUGUUUGUUUUAGAGAAUUUGACGGCCGUCGAGUUGUUUUUUUUUUUUCUGAAGUACCCGUGUGUGGUCGAAUAUUAUUCGAAAUAAUAAAAUCAAUUUACCGUUAAGAGGUACCUUAAGAGGUAUCUAUGACAUGAUAUGUUUAACGCUUCCCAAUUUGGAAAGUCAAUCCUUAUAUUUAAAUAUAUACAAGUAUUAUAUACAGUUUUAUAUACAAUGGUUACCUUUUAGAGCAGCGGUUUUCGACCUUUUUUAUUCCAAUUUUUAAAUUUUCAAAAAUCUCACACACCCCUUCCUUUUAAAUUAGGUACAUUAAACUAUUAGAGUUUAGACGACUUUUUUUUUUAGUGAGCUAUAUAAAUAAAUUUUAAAAAAUAAUUUUAUACAUAUUAAAAAUUGUAGGUACAACUAAAAUUAAUUUAUUGUUUUCAAUUUUACUGAUUGGAAAAUGGCAUAAAUAUUUUAACAAAAAAUAUUCUUGUUUUUUCAUCAUCACUAUAUUUUCCUCGUGCAGUAUUUAAAUUUCUCCCCACCCCCCGGUCGAGAAUCACUGUUUUAGAGUAUACCUAAAAUUUCAAAACUACAUUUUGAAACCUAUAUAUAAUAUUAUUAAUAUAUGGUUUGCUACUCUAAUUAUAUAUUUUAUUCGUUUCCAGUGUAAUUUUCGUUCGAAUAAACACGCGUCGAGUUUUUACAACAAACGUUUGUAUUGUUUCUUUUUUGUCGAGAAACGCUUUUUUUGCAGAAUUAAAAAUGAUCCGAAAGUUUCGCAAAUAUACACUGUAGUUCGUAUCUACGGAUUACAAAUUAAACGCAGAUGGUACUAGGCGUAUUAAUAUAUACUUUAGAAAGGUAUUAUUAUUCUUUUGCAGCGUCGUCGUUGUUGUUUUAAAAACGUUGUAUAGUCGAAUAAAAGAACUAUUAAAAAACUGUUGUAGCCUAUGGAAAGUUAGUGUAUAUAAGAGUCGGUGAGUAGGUAUGUAUAAUAUAUAUAUAUAUAUACUGUUCUCGGUUCAAAGUUUCUUUCCAACUUUUUAAUUAUCCUAGAGGUUUCGAAUUUUCACCCGGUUUAUAUGUGUUGUUUUGUGUGUAUAUAUGUAGCGCCGUAAUGCGAUUUUGCCGGCGUUAAAGAGAUUUUAACCGCGAAUGUUUUCAACUGUAUCUAUAAUCUACGAGGUUUUAUAAUAAUUUCUGAGGGCGAUUUUAAAUGAUUAAACCCCGAAUAAUAGGCUGCAAUAAUCGUUAUUAUUCCAAACUAUUCCGGGUCAAAACCGAAAUUCGGCUACAUCCUCCCUCUCCUCGGCGUCCCCGUAAGGAAUAUAUGAGUUUAAAUGCCUUCUCUAAACAUUUUCAAGUUCUGAGUAUAGCGAAGCAGCUAUUAUAAAGUUCUACUAUGAUGCUUAUUUUUCCUCCAAUUUUUCGGUUCCGCAUAGCUUACCUUAAAAAUGCGGAUUUUUGUCACCUGUUACCGGUCCUUUAUUUAAAUAAUUUUUCAAAAUGCCUACAAUUUCUAACAAAAAAUUUAAAUUAAAAACAUUUAUGGACAUUUUCAGCACUAGCUCCAUUUUUAAUUUCUGGAUUCUCUUGGCAACGAGGAAUCAAACACAACUAAUACAUUUCAAAAUCCUUUUUCGAUAGCAAUAAUUAAUUAUUGCAUACACUGUAUGAAUUAUAUAAACUAAAUUACUCUGUAGGCAUCUUUUCUUUCCAGCUACUUACCAACAAAAUUUACCAGUAAUUCCGUGAACUGUAUCAACUUGUUUUUCUUUCAAAUACACAAUACAGAAAUGCAAUGUCCUACUUACUCGUAUAUUGUCGACCUGUACAUCCUUAUUAUAUUAUACGAAGCAGGUAUAAUAGAAAAAGAAAAAGUCUGAAAAUUUAAAUUUCUUUAAAUCAGCCAAUUCGUAUUCAUUUUUUAAUAUUAGGUAGGUACCCGCAACGACGGUUUCGACAAAUAUUACAAUUAACAAUAAUAUAAGUGCUCGUUUCGAAUGUUUUGAAAUUCAAAUGAACGGCAGCGGAGGCGGCGACGACGGUAUGGUUAUACAUUCUGUAUAAUAUAUACAGUAAAAAAAAAAUAAAAAAAAAAUUUCCUCGUGUUUAUAAAAUAUUUUCAUUCGUGAGGUAGAUACGUACCGACCGUCACGUUCGAUGUAUUAUAUUAUUGUAACAUUGCCCCUGUAACCCGUCAGUUUUUAAAAACUCCGACGAAAGCCCGAAAUACGUUUUCUUUAUAAUAUUUUCUAAUUUUAUUAAAUAAUAAUAACAGUGUUUCCAUACAUUACAUUGCGGUUAACGUUUGUUUUUCUUGUUUUUUUUUCUUUUCUUUUCUUUUUUUUUUUAAUUUACAAAGAGGUUUUCGUUAGUUGGCCCGCAGCGGAUAAAAACAAAAACGCGUUAGUCGGGUUUUUGGCAUUUUCUCCUGAAAAUGGAUACUUAUAGAGCGCUGUAUUGUGUUUGUUAAGGAUUCGCAAAAAGCGAACUAGGGUAAACUUAUAAAAAAAUAUAUUUAAAUGUCUUGUUUCAUCCCUGUACAGAAAACGUGGCCAAGUGAUUUACAUUAUACACAUUUUAGAAACCGUGCGCACAUGGUUUUCGAUAAAAAUUAAAAUAGAAUAAAAUAACAGUUAAAAUUGUUUAAUCACUUUGUGAUCGAUUGCAAUACACAAUCUGUUAGGUUAGAUGUCUUUUUUUCCCGCUAGUUAUAUGGACACUUUUAAGCGGCUCUCUCUGGAAUAAACGAGUUUUAAGAAUCAGACAUUAGAGUUAAUUUCAAUAUAAGGAUUUUUUUUUUUUUUUUGGCAGGUCAGGAGAGUUUAACCUAAAACAUAGAGGUAAAGUAAUUAAGCUUUAUAGACGUAAUGAGAUUUUUAAAAUAUUUUAACGUAUUUACGUGUUAUUUAUUGAUAUCUGAAAUUUUCUACCUUGUUUAGUUUUAGAUUUUGAAUGGAACGAGGAAUAUAUUGGUUAUACAGUGAUGUUUUUUUUUGUUGAACACUUUUUCUACCAGAAAUCUUACUCUGAUUAUCAAGUAUAGCAUUUUUUAUGAAGGGAAAUAUUUUCUGGGUAGUACUUUAAAGAGGUAAUUUUUUGAAAUUAAUUAAAUUAUAUUUAGAUUAAUUUUUUAAAUUUAUCUCAUCAAUAUUCGAGAUAAUAAGGAAAACCUGGUUCUUUAAGUUAAAAAAAUAUUAAACGAUUAAAAAUAAGGUUGUCAUUGGCAACCGUUUUUAUUUAUUUUUUUGUUAUAAUUAAGUUUUUAUUAUUUUAAUUUAAUAUUUUUUAAACAAUCAUUGUUGUAAACAUUCUAUCAUAAUGUGAUAUACAUUACAAUACAUACAUACAAUACAUAUUGUUGACAAAGCAACACUAUCUACUGAACUCCGCUCAGAAUCGUUUUUCGUUUACAAUGAUUUAUUGUUACUUACAGAUGUACACACGAUUGCCGUCUGUAUCCUACCUUCCAACUUCUCACCUACAAUAGUGACUGCACCCACGUGCAAAGUAUUUCCGUCAUUUAGAUUCCGAUCAUAGCGAAGGAGCUAUUGAUUUUACAAUGCUGUUUAUUUCUUUGUUCUAGUCUAUGGACACAUUUUUUCCUAGUAAACUUUCUUCGACUUUUACGUGUUGUAAUUUUUCUGAAAGGUCAAGUUAUCUUGAUUGUACUUUAAAGAGGUCAUAUUUUGAGUCUCAAUACUAUUUUUUAAAUAAAAGCACUUAAGUGGGAAAAAAAAGUAGGAAAACGCAAAAUUUUACAAUUUCAUUUUUUUAUAAAAACACGGACGACGUUUUCUACUUGAGAAAAUGAUUUAAUCGAAAAAUUAAAACGUACAUUUUUUUCGACUUUUUGAUUUAUUCUUUCUUGCAAUAUCUUCACCAAAACUUUUGAGGCACUUUUGAUUUUUUCUGGAAUUUUAAUUUUUUGUUUUAAUUUGGUUAUAAAUAACUUAGAGACUUGAAACUUGGUAAUAAUAUUUAGAUUUGACGUACCUAGACUUGGUAAUAUUUUCAAAAUCAUCGGACUACUUUUUUUCCUUUUUUUAAUUUUUUUACAAUGGUAAUUAAUUUGUUUUGUUAAUACUGUAACCACUUUCAUUCAAGAAAACUUGCUCUAAUGUAUAAAUUUAACACCUUUUCUGAAAGUCAAUUUUAACUUCUUGAUUGUAUUGACCAAAAAAUGACCAAUGUAUGAUUGGUCAUUUUUUGAUCUUCGAAACGUUAUUUAAAAUAAAAACGAUUAAACGGGGAAAAGAAUACGAUUUUUUCACGAUUUCGUUAUUUUAAAUAAGUACCUAACACGUUUUCUAACACAAAUAUGGCUCCAAUUGAAAAACGACUAGUGACCUUUUUUGUUGAAUUAUCCAUCUUAUUUUAAUGAUGGGGUUCAUUUUUCUGAUUUUCGAAAUAGUUUUCAUAAUAAUCGGGAAAAAUCGUAAGAAGGUUGGAUUAAAAAAAAUUACGGCACUUCAAAUUAUGUAUUACCGAACUGCGUUCGGAAUCGUCUUUCAUUAUCAAUGGUUUAUUAUUGCUUACAGAUAUAAAUGAAAUAACCUUAUGUAUUCUACCUUCCCAACUUCUCACCUACAAUAGCGCCGCUCCCAUUCCCAGUAUCAGCUCUUUUUUAUAAUUGUAUUUCAAAUUAAAUUAAACGUAUAAUAAUAAUAAUAAUAAUUUAUAAUAGAUUAUAAUAGUCGAUAAUAGCUUAGAGCUAAUAUGAAAUAAUUUAUAUUUACGCAUGAACAGUAUACUCCUUAAUUUUUCUUACUAUUGAAUACACCAAUUAUUUUCAACUUAUUCAUUAAAUUUUAAUUUUAAAGUUUCUUGAACUAUCGUCUAAUUAUAUUAGACUAUUUAAAGAUUAUAUUUAUAUUUUAUACUCUUAGACCAGAGUUAAACAUCGAUCAAAGUAUGUCAUCUAAAAAACAAUCGUCUAUGACACAUUUUUUCAAAAAAUUAAACAUCUGAAAAUUUGCCUAAUUAUUUAAAAAAUUCUAUUGAGAAACCAUACUAACUACGUAGACAACUAAAUUAGACGAAAAUAGAUGCGUUCUCGUCGAAUCAAUAAUUACAACUAUAAUAGUUAUUAUUAUUGGGUAUAGUGGUUUAGAUGUUUUAAUAAGUAUUUAUGUCCUGAUACUGAUUAAAAUAUUUAUAAAUUCCGAAUCAAUAUAAUCGACAUAAAUGGCAUAAUAAGAUCGUAAAAUAUAUCAAGUUCAAGAAGUCAUAUAUAAAUGUGUAAUAUCAUUUUAUUUGAAUACAUAAACAAAACAUUUAGUACACAAUUGUUAACAAUAAAAAUAAAGAGUUUUUCAAAAAAUAAGGGAAAAUAUAUGUACAGAGUGUUCCAUUUAAAUGGGCACAUUUACUAUUUCGGAAAAUAUUAACUCACUUCGGAAUUUGUUUUAUAGAACACUUAAAAAACAAACAGCUCUACAAUUUUAAAUCGAUGUUAUUUUUCGUCCCCCUAUUUUUGGGGGUAAACCACUAUAGAUUUUCAAAUGGCACCUAUAUUAAUGAUUUAAAUAUGUUUUUAUUGGCCUCCAUCUAAAAAUCAAAAGUAAGUAGUGGCUUUAGCCCCAAGAAUAAAGGUGAAAAAAUAACAAAAAUGUAAAAUUGUAAAACCGCUUGUUCCUUAAAUGUUCUACAAAACAAAUUCCGAAAGAAUUAAACACUUUCCGAAAUAAUGAAUGCACUAACUUAAAAAAAAAACACCCUCUAUUAAUGACAAAGGUCAUUUACUAAUAGUACAAAAAAUAUAAAAAAUGUUUAGUAAAAAAAAAUAAAUUCAAAUUGUAUAAAUUCAAAUGUUAAAAAUAACCGAGAAAAACUUAUUUGAUGGUAAGGCAGUCCUGACUUUUUAUGUAUUUUGCGAUCGUCCGCUUGGAAAAUGACAUCGUGACCUCGGAGGUCUUUCCAGCGGACGACGUUCAUGAAUUUUUUUUAUCAACCGUCAUUAAGAUUUCAAAAUUUUCACAGUCCACGGACGGAUUGCUAGUCGUGACUGCGCACAUUACUUCGGAGUCACAACACUCGACAUUCCCAGCCGUUUUGACUUUUUCCGAUCGAGCACGUGGUACGCGCGUUUUCGAGACUAUUGUACGUCUUUUAUUUCGUUUUGCUGAGCGUUUGUUUACGUUCUUGGACGACGUCUUUAGUUGAUAUAGUUCGCCGAGUUCGCACCGCUCCACUCGCGGCGACCGAGAGCUGCCACAGUCCGCGCCCUCUUGGUGUUCAGUGUUUUUCCACUACGGGUUUUCAUCGUGCGCGCGGUCUCGUCUACUGUGCCGCAAACUCGAAUCUUCUUAUAACUUAUUAGAGAGUACGAAAAUUCGUACGCGUAGCAUGAAUUGUUUGAAAGUAUAUACGACGUCUGCACACACUGGGAUCUAAACGCACAGUGAUCAACAAUCAGAACACACGAGAUCGAUUCGAACGGAUAUUGUUCAUUUUCAGCUGUUUUAAAUACCACGAAGAUAUAACAAAUCUUAUCGGGCCGUAGUGAUAGCAAUAGCUGUUUUUUUUUUUGGACUUUUCUUAGGUUAUCAUAUUAUACACACACGUGGAUUUGAGUUUGAUAUACGGCGCACGGAGAUACAAAAAUCUAGCGGUCCAAUUUUUUUUUUUUAUUUAUUUUAUGGUGUCGGAUAACAUUUGUUCGCUUCUAAAAAUUCUCAUCAAUUUGCUAUGUGAUACUGUAUUCGUAUAUUUUAUAGUCACGAUAAUGGAUAUUAUAUGGUUUUUCAUCGAUCUCUACUGGAAUCUUCAAUAAAUGGCAGUCGAAUUAAAUCCCCUGAAUCAGCUGAUUUCUAGACCGCUAGCGCUUGUGUGACGGUGUAAUAAAAUGUUAUACAAUUAAAGAUAUCAACAAUUUAUUCUGCACUAUAGUGAAGUAUAAAUCCAGGCGGAGUGUGAUGUUUCAAGUUUUUCCUUGACUGGUGGUUUCAGUUCGGUAGACACUUUAUUAUUAAUCUAUGGUCAACCAUAGUGUCUAUUUGUUUUUUUAAUCGAACUGUGUUUUCGGUGCUGAUUUUCAAUCGAAUCUUGGACAUACCCUUUUUACACCCGCGGGCCACCGGAAUUCAUCCUGUCCCAGCAGCCACAAGUGUUUAUUUCCGCGGUAAUUAAAUGAAGUUUGAUUUUCACAGUGCUCGCAGUUUUCCUAUACGUUUUCGUUUUUAAACUUUACGAUAUUAAAUAAAUACGUACACAGACAAUCCUAUUUAUCCAGCGAAAACGCGUAAAGUUCUCGUUGGUCUCGCACGCCGGUAACUUUUGAUUCGCAUAUUUUCCGAAACGAAAUAAUAUAUUAUUAUAUUAGAUAAUUUGCGUACUCACGCUUUAAUAUAACAAAUUCUCCCACGUGCAUUGUAUUACAAUAGUCUUUAUAGUCAUGUAUAAUAAUAAUAUUAUGUUCACCAUAUGAGAUCGCCGGGUCUGUUCUUGAAGUUUUUUUUACUUCGGGCGUUUUUCGAUUUGAUAUUUUACGCGAAAACCUCAAAACACGCGUGCUCGUAAAUUUAACAUAAUAUAUAAUCGCAAUGGUUUGUUAUUAAAUAACAAUGUUUUCGCGGUAUAACAACAUUAUAACAAUAAAUUAUUAGUCACAUACAAACGUAUAUUUUUAAAAGUCGAAGGCGGCCCACUACUCACCAAUUAACUCGCCAAAACACGCAUACCGCGAUUCCCGUAGACAUUAAAACUGGUAAUAAUCAAUCGAUUACCUACACAUAUAUAUUAUGUAUAUACGUAGAUGUUUAUCUAUCCAGAGAUACCUACAAUAACCGCACGAAUAAUUAUCCGCUACGGGCGCUAGUAGGCAUACACAUUAUACACAUAUUAUAAAAACUAAACCUAUUGACUGCAGGAUUCGCCGAUUGUCUUGUAUAUAAUAUACAGAUAACACACUGUUAUAAAAUAUAGGUCGUCAGGCGAUCAACAAAGAUCGGUUGUAUCUGUAAAAAUCCUCUGCUCGUUCUUUAUUACGACGACUGUAACUGCUGCGGUACGCCCACGUUUCAUUUCGACGGUGUUUUUUUAUUUCUUUACGUACAUUUUGUCGUCACGUUAUUGUGAAUUUUACAUCGAUGACGUUUUAAAAUAAAAAUAAUAUAUACGGGUACAGUCGUGUCGUAAUUAAAUUACGACCGGGGAAUUUCAAUAAACCGCAUCACUCCCGUCCGAAUGAUAAAUAGGUACGUUUGCGCGUUAUACCGCGGUUAAAUCCGAUGUUCGGCGGUCAUAUAUUAGGCACGCCGGAAGAAAGUACUGCUACUUAAAACUUCGCGGCAACACGAUACUUCGUGAAUAUUAUAUGUUAUAGGUACACGCGAUGAUCGUGAGCGCCGUUUCUUUGUGUACCGCAUUUCCUUUGUACGCUCCUGCAGUACUCUGUAGUCUCGCUGUACGAUCAGACUGCGUGUUACCGCGGCCUAUAAAGUCACGGUAAUAUAAUCGACUCUUUUUCGCGAUAGCAAACGAGAAUUUCUGUAAAUAGAUACGUUGAUUUUGACGAACGGACGACUUUUAUAUCGAUCGUGACGUAUAUGACUGCAGUCGAUUUAUGCCGAAAUGUCACGUACAUAAAUAAACGAAUAACCGCGGCGGUUGUCGUUGUUAAAUUUUACGACAAUAAUAAUCGUUAAACGAUAUAAUUUGUUUAACGCGAGACCGAGUGAUAAUUACAUUAAUAUUAUCGAGAGCACCUAAAUUUCCGCUCGAACAGACAUAAUAUUAAUAAUAAUAAUACAUCUGCAUAAAUCGUCACUUUAACUAGGCACUUCCAAAUAAAAAAAAAAAAAAAAACAACAACGCACACACUGGGCGAUAGGCAUUGGUAUGCAUUGGUAAACACGUGACUAUUGAGUCUACCUGAUUUAGUAUAUUUUUCUUUUAUAUGAAAUACCUACUAGUUACUUUAAUGAUUAAAAAUAGAUAAUUACUGCACACGAAUGUGCUGUGCAUAUACAAUACAAUACUUUUGAUCGUAACGAUAUUCGUACACGUAUUUCGUAUCAAAAUUCGUGUACAACAAUUAAUUAAAUUUUGAACGAUAAAAUAUUUAUGUAAUUGGGUCAAAAAAAGAUAAUUGGGAAUCGCCGCAAAGCUGAGACCCAAGUGGAUAAAUAAAACAGUGCAGGCCAAUUAUAUUCGGUGAUACUCUUCUAUUGGUCGACGCGUUAUCACUGUUAUCAGCCAUACGUUUAGUCGCGAAAUCUUAAUAUUUUCUGUGCACGCGAUCAAUAACUAUAGGGAUUUAUAUUAUGUUUUUUUAUUUGAGUUUGAAACAUUUAUACUGCGUGAUAGUAAACGCGGUGAUUGUAUUCUGUGUACAAAAUAAGUAGGCUACACUAUAUUUUAUUCGUCUGUAAUAUUACAGUCCGCUGUAAUAUUGACGUAAGGUAUACGAGACAUACCUAAUAUCUCGAAAUAUCUACGAAUAUUCAUCGAGCCUUAUGGUUUAUAUCGGCUGACCGAAAAUUCAAUAAUAUUUAUAGUAUUGUGCUCGUGAUAUUAUACACUCCACAGAGUGCACGCGCCGAUUCUAAAAUUAUAAUAUAUAGUUCGAUAAAAUCGCCGUCCAUUUAUAGUUAAGUGCUACUGGAGUUAUUAACAAUAAUUAUUAUUAGGCAUAUACGGCGUACUAUAUACGUGAUAGGAAAAACAAAUUUAAAUUGUUCCGUUUAAAUUGAACGUGAACUCGUAAUGAUCAUUACUACUAUUGUUAUAUAGUUACCUAAAUAACAUAAUAUUAUAAUAGUUCGUUUGUAAUAUACUAACGAGAUUAAUGUAAUUUUAAACAAAAAAAAUGAAACACGUGUUAAUCUUCACAAAGCGUGAAUUGUUUAGGAAGAAAAAUGUGUAUAUAUAUAUAUAUAUAUAUGUAUUUAAAAAAAAAAAGAAAGGCCGAGAUAAAAAAAAUGGGGUAAAAAUGGUAAUAUUCAUAAUGUACGAGUAUUAUACGAAUACAUUUUAUGUCGAGGCACGCAAAUUGAAUCGACACGCUGACGUACCUCCUCUUUUGUGUGCUGUAUCGUGUAACGAAAACAAAGAGGUCGCGUUAAUUAAAUGACACCGUAAUUAUAGGUUAGGUAUUGAAUUUUUUUUUCUUCACACAUACGUGAACACCGCAAACACUAUCUGUAGACAUCGCGCCUAGUUGCGUUAUGAUAGGAUAGGCGUCUUGAACGCCUCGGGCGCUUGUAAGUUUAAACCGUUUUAUCGUCGCAAUUAUCGUCUUUGUAGACUCCCGAGACUUCGCUGUCGUCGUUUCUCUCGUGUUUGUGCUACACGAUUAAUAUAGAAAUUUCUAUAUUUUUUUUUUUUUUAUAAUAAUAUUCGAUAUCGAUUGGUAUUUAAAAUUACACAUAUCAUCAUUGUAUAGGUUGUUUAUCAAUUGUAUAAACAUAAUGUGUUGAUUUCAAAUCAAGUUAAGUUAAACAAAUAUCUGCAAUUUCUUCAACACGAUAUUAAAUUUACAAUUUACAGGUGAACAAUAUUUUCUUGAAUAUUAUUGUGCGAUUAGUAUAACGAUAAUCGGGGUCAAUCAUGGACGAAAUACUUUUGUAUUUUUAUUACGCCAUGAAAUUUAUAGUGAAUAUCCAUACAGUCAUAUCGAGCUAACAGAUAGAUAGAUAAGUUAAAUAGAUAAGUAAUGAGAUGUUUCAUGAUGGUGUGAAUAAAAAUAUUGAAUCAUUUCUUCCACGACUACUUAUCCAAUUACUCAUUAUAAUUUUUGUUUUUGCUAUUUUAAUCAUUUGAAUGGAGUUUUCAGUUUACGAAAUAAGUGUAUUCAAUAGAUAUUCUCGUAAUAAAAUCCACGUGUUAAACCAUUAAUUACCGUAAUUUUUGCAAAAUCGCUUCUGGGUUAUAAUAUAAUAUAAUAUAUAUAUUCACGUAAAACUAUAAUAAUUUUACAAAAAACCAAUACAAAUUAACUCAACUUAAAUUAAUAAAUACAGUUCAUUAAAUUUGAAUUCGUGGUUAACUCGGUGAACCUGAGUAUAAUAAAACAAUCAACUUCGAAUUUAACUGAUUUAAUAUUAUUUGCUAACUAAUUGAACAACCUUGAUAACAUUAUUAGGCCUACAUUAUUACAUAAAACUAAUUUAUAACAAUAAUUUGUUAAUAUUAUAAUAUUAUUUCAAUAGUCGUGCAUUUUUUGAUUUAUUUUUUUUUAGAUUCUGAGUGAAUGUAUUGGUUUAACGAUGAUGUUUAUUUUUUUAGUGUGUACCAUUUUUGUACCAGAAAGCAUACUCUGAUUAUCAAAUAUAGCACCUUUUUUGAAAGCAAAUAUUUUCUGGGUGGUACUUUAAAGAGGUUAUUUUUUUGAAAUUCUGAUUAAUAUUCGAGAUAAUGAAGAAAACUUGGUUCUUUAGGUUGAAAAUAUUGAAAAAUUAAAAAAACGGCUGUCAUUGGCAAGCGUUUUUAUUUAUUUUUUGUUAUUUUAAUAUUUUUUAAACAAUUAUUGUUGUCAUGGAAACUCAUAUUGUUGAAAUCAUUUUAGCGUAAUAGAUCCCAUAUUAUAUUUUUGACAAAGCAACACUGUCAACUGAACUCCGUUCAGAAUUGUUUUUUAGCAAUGGUUUAUCGUUGCUUAUUGAUAUACAUUAAAUUCCCGUCUGUAUCCUACCUUCCUGAAUUCCCACUUACAACAGUGGCUGCACACACGUGCUAAGUAUAUCCGUCCUUUUUUGUUAUAAUUGUCCUAUUUGCUUAUUAAUUUAUUAUAAUAUAAUAUAUAGUAACAAUAGAGAAAGAGAAUAAUAAUAAUAAUAAUAAUUUGAAUUACUUCCUUGUUGCUAUAAUAACGACUCGGUGGAGAAAAUAAUAAUUAUAAAUUAUCGGGUCAUUAUUGCAACAGGAUCUUUAUCAGCAAUUUGCAUCAUUCUCUAUAAUGAUGAAGUAAUAAUAUAAUUUUUAUUGUGUCUGUGAAUUUGUAGUGAAUUGUUUUAGCCGAUUUUAAUGCGUGUAGAUUUUUUAUUACAGAGUUUGAAUCGUGUGUAUUGUGUACACGAACAACGAAUUUAGUAAAUUGUGAAAUCUUCGUGUUUGAUUUUUUUUUUGGCCUAUUUUAUCGUUUUAAAUUUGUAAGUAACUUUUUUACCUUUUAUGGCCAUUUUUACAUAAACUACAUAUUUUUUUUUUAAUUUAUACAGGUUGUAUAUACUUUUGUUUUAUAUCCAUGUGUUUUCAAAUAUUAUUUACAAGCUGUUGUACUAAAUACAAAUAAUAACAAUACUUUAUUUAAAGUUGUAUAGUGCCUUAAAUGCACAAAUUUAAUUGUUAUACUAGAUUCUCAAUGUACCGAAGAUAAUGUUAGUUUUGCCAAGAUAGAGUUAUUUUUUCUCGGGAACCCCUAUGUUUUUUUUAGUCAGGCAAAAUGUUUUUAUUAUAAAUCCAUGCUCCAAAAGUGCAGAUUUUCCGCCCUAUGUGAUACUGUAUUUGAAAUUCCCGACAGCUCUCUUCUAAAUCUUUUGUUAUUAUUAUUUUUUUUUUGUAGAGAAAAACACUUUUAGUAAAUAAAAAUGAUUUAAAAUGUUUAAACGUACCUCCCUUAAAAGACAAGUUUUUCUCCCUACUUUACUUUAUUUGAAAGAUGUUUCUACAUUUCCAACGGCUCUUCUAAAAAAUUUAAAAAAAAAAACUUAACAAAUGACAGAUACUGUGGUUUUAUUUUUAUCGAUUUAUGGGUUGUUAUAAAUAUCCUAUACCUUCUCGAAUUCUUCCACACAACACAGUGACCCACCGACAGUACGAAAUAUUUCCGGCUUAUAUUGUAUUCACUUUUAUUGAAAUAUUUUGUUAUUCUCCGCGUGCGAACUAAAAUCGAAGAAUAUUGUUCGGCGUAGAGUGAUAUUGUAUACUGUCGACGAUAACAACAUUAUUAUUUACAAUUGAAGGCCGAAAAUAAAAUUUAAUUACAUGUCACCGUAAUAAUAUAACACAGUGUUGAACCAACGAACCCUGGCGUGAUUGGAUAAAAAUAAAUCUUUAUACUGAUCACUUGGAUAAGUAACAGUACAGCGAACAAAUAGUUGCGCGUACGAGGAUGUCGGCGACGAGAGAUAGUGCAACUUAAUAUUUUUCAGUUUUUCUGUGCAAAUAUCAACAAAAACGAGCGAUUCUCUUGUAUUUCAAUAGGUAUACCUAGUAACCAUGUUCACGCGAUUCGUAUCCAAAAUCGAGUUACAUUGUUAAAUAGAUGUUGAAAUAGAAAAUAAAUAGAUACAUUAACGGUAUAAAUGAAGCACACUUUGAAAAACAUGACGCAUAGUUUGAUUUAUUUUAAACCGAUCGAAAUUUCAACAGAUUUUCAAUCACCGAUGUAUUUGAAAACUGACGUACAAUUUCACGAGCUCGAUUCGUAUCAGUUUUCUAACUACGCCUGCUUGGUUUCGGCCGUUUGAAAAAUUAAUAAUAUUAUGUACAUUUCCGCAGCGUUCGAAUACAAUAGUAUAUAGUUGGUAUUCAACGCCUUGUCAAAAUACCGUGUCAGUUUAACUUGAAAAGUAUUUAAACGUUGUAUAGUAUAUUAUAUCGGAAUACAUUACAAUACUCAUUCAGUACAACCCCACUAGUCGAAUAACGCGAUUUGUUUUUUCAUAGUCCGCACGUAUACCCGUGUAUCAUUAGUAUAAGACACGCGGACGGUCAGCUAUGAGAGAGGUUACGACCUAUACUGCAGUACCUAUGUGUGCCAGGUGAUAUGAUAAUAUAUUAUAAAUCUCGUGGCGCCAAUUACUACGAUUACAUAUUAUAUGGGUGUAAUACGUAUUAAAAAAAAAAAUGAUAUUAUUAUUAAGCAUUAUGGCUGUGGACAGGUGAAAUAGUGUAUCGGCACAAGGUCAGUGUACGCGUUUGUCGUUUGUAAUCUAAUAUACACAUACACAAUAUAAUAUACUUCGAUAAAAUAUUUUAAGUAUAUAUUCUACAGGGUGAUUUCAACUAUUUUUAUUUGACAAAAAAUAUUUUCCAAUGUAUAGGUACUCCUAAUAUUACUUAGAUUACGUUAGGUUAGGUUUAAUAAAUUCGUAUUAUACCGUAUGCUAAUAUUAACUCUUCAUUUUUUAAAAGGAAUAUGUUAACCUUUUAAAAUUUAUCUAUUAACAUACUAUACCCAAUAAAUAUACAAUAAUAUUAUACCUGUAUUUAGAUGACAAUAAUAACCGUUUUCCCUACUACUCCUCAUUCGGACUAAAAACUGGGUUGUUUUAAACGUCAAAUCGUUUGAAAAUCAAAAUUUGACAUUUGUAUGUACAGUAUACUUUUAGUUAUAGUGAAUUUCCGAAAACAUUGUAAGCGACAGACGGCGGAAACGAAAUUGAAAAUCGAUUUUUACUCAAAAUUUACGUGUAUUAUAGCCGGAUCGUUGGAUUACGGUCGAAAAAACAAUACUACCACCCUGUAUAUAUUACGAUAUAAUAAAAUAAUAAUAAUAUUAUACGCGAAGAGCAGACCGAUCGUAUGGCGAUAGUGACAAUAUAAUAUUAUGAGCGUACAACAAGUCGACGACGGCGCACGCAGAAAAUCAAUUUUCCACAGGUGCGCGUGUUGUGUCGUGUCGGUGCCAAAAAAUGAAAAAAAUAAAAAUGUAAUAACGAUAUUAUUGACGGUAUAUUAUACACGUGCGUAUAAGUUACUUCGGGUAAAAAAAAAAAAACGUAUCGUGUUACGUUCAUCGACAGGCAAUAGUAUAAUAUAAUAUUAUUGUCUGUGGCCGUCGUCCGCAUGCAGCUGCUGGUAUAACACACACCGGACGAGCUCGUCGUUUCAAUAAGGUCAACCAUAUAGGUUCGAAUGACAAUUGUUUUUUUUUUUUUUUUUAGUCGUGCAUUUUUAAUAAGAAGUACUAUAUACAUUUUAUAUGAAAAAAAAAAAAAAACCAAGUGUAUUUGUACAUUAUUCACGAGCUAUAGGUACUAAAGAAGUUUAUAAGUACCUACAAGUAUAUCAUUUUUUUUUCAACCGUUAUUAUUUCUUAAAAUUAUCUAUAAUUUCAUACCCACCGUUUUAUAUAAUAAUUACCAUAUUAUUUUGUGCGACGACGACGACGACGGUAUAACGGUAAGAGUAUCAAUCGGUCACGAAAAUAUCGAUCGUAGGCAAGUAUAGCGUCUUGAGUGAACGCAUUAAUCAAACGACAUUUGACGGGCGAAAAGAUGUAUCCGAGAAGAAGAAAUAAUUAUUUCCUGUUUUUUCCUGCGCGAAAAGCGGUACAGAUAACACGACCUCAUGCCUAUAAUCUAUAAUAUUAGUUAUGAUAAUUCAAGGUUUACCGCGUGAUCAGCACGAAUUCGUAGCGAUUUUCAUGGGGUAGGAGGGAGAAAAUGGGAAGUUAUUUUUAUUUUUUUCUUCUUUCCGGAUACACCUUUUCGCUCAAUAUCAGAACGCGCGGUCUGGUUUUGGAGAAAUACGAGACACGCAGGUACACGCUGCUAUGGUUGAGAAGUGUGCACGGGAUGGACCGCGGCGUGUAAGCGAAAACUACACCAUCAGCUAUUAUACCCGACUAUCGACUAUAUCGGACGGCCGAAUGACCGAGAGUAGGGUACGAUGACACGAUAAGCGAGAGAGACGAGAGGAACGCGGGAAGGACGCGGAUUUAUAAUGAACGAGAGUGGAAUGAUAACGUCGUAUAUAUACACCCAAAUUGGAAGAAAUGAACCGUGGCCGGUAAUUCGACACCGGUGUCGGGGGUAUGGAAUGGAAGACGCUGCGGACAAGUGGUAGAUGGUACUGCGGUAACGGAGGAGGGACGACGGCGAGAGCGAAUUAUUGAAAGUUCUCCCCGGGCUGCGGGGGAAACGAUCUGAUUAUGGGCCCGGCCCGCGAGAACGGGGGAUUACUAUAAAGGGGCCGACUGUGAUGUAGCAGAUAAGAAACGGGCAGGCGUCUCUGGCUUUUCACUGCGCCAGCGUCGGCGGCGACGAGGGAUAUUUUCCUCUGUACAUUAGCCAAAGGCAAAUAACAUAUAUUAUUAUAUUACGUAUACAUGUAUACAGAAGAUACCUAUACAUAAUACAAUGUAAUAGCUGACGGCUGUCGAGAAGUUCGCCGCGCCGUGUGCGCCCCUCGUUUUCGGAAAAUAAGGUGUACUUUGCGGUUUAUAAUAAUAUAUCCGUCGCACACGUCUCGCAGAACGCCGGUGCACAUUUCAAGAGUUUCGGUUAACAAACCGGCCGAGAACUUUUAAAUCGGCCGUUUACGCGGACGCGUGUGCGUGUCUCUCGUGCAAUACGAUUAACGUUAUAUCGUGUUUGUAAUAAUACCGAGCACUGAUUAAGAGAUGGGCAAAUUCCCGAAAAAUGGAACAAUUAUCGACGAUUAACGUAGUAGUAUGUAUAGAAAAUUAUAAUAAACGUACGUUUAUCCAUAACAGAAUCGAUUCCGGUAGAAUAGCUCGAGUCUAUACAAUAAUGAUAUUAUAAGCGAAAUAAAAACAAAAACAAAAUUUAUAUUUCCGUAAUUUUGAUUAACGAGUAGCUAUACUUUAAUAACUGCAGAUAUUAAGUAAUCUCCGUUUGAUUGUGGACCCGAAUGAACCUUUAACAGUGUGAAUGUGUGACCAGUUUGAAGAGUAGUGACAGAAAAAUGUUUUCAAAUUCGAGAAGAACCACUGUAAUAUGCCGUGGAAAUAUUCCCGAUGAACUCACGAAUAUAUAUAUAUAUUUUUUUUUUUUUGAAAUAUCUCGUGGCAAAACACCGUACAAUCACAAGUCCGGGUUGCAAACACCGAAUGCGUAUAAUACAGACCCCCGACACUAUAUAUACGAGUAUAUUUAAGUUCUGUACAAUUUUAAUGGCUCUGUAACGAGUAAAUAAUGUUGAAUAAAAUAAUUUCUAAAUAAUUGAAUGCCGAAACACAUUUACCGCGUAUAUGUACUGAUAAAUCGGUGGUUAUGCGAAGUGUUCUCGCAAAAGCUUUUCCAUCCCAUUUCUUUCGGGCCGCAAAAAGUACACGUUUAUAAUAUAUAUUUUUGGAUUUCAAUGCGGAAAUCGGAUACGAUUCUCAAAUGUAAGUCUAAGGUCAAUCCAAUCUGUAAAGAUUUCGGAUACAAAGUCGGAACUGUAAGUUACGGCAACGUUCAGUAUGUUAUUUUAUAGAUCCGUAAGCGCGAUAUAAUGAUUCUGUAAGUAGCUACAGAACGUCUACGCGAUCCGUAGUGUUCUGUUUACUACCGACUCGUACAUUGUCAUUUUAAUUUUGCCGGAUUCAAAAACGUUACAUUUUUCAAUUAAUUAACAACGCCGAUAAAUUUUACUGCGCGCGUAAAUGUGUACGCGAGAUUUUGCGAUUUCAUUUUCUAAAAACACUCUCGGACAAAAAUCAAUAUUUUUUCUAAUAACUUUAACAGUGUAGCGUGGUGCUUAUUAUUAUAGGUAGAAAACGACGCUGGGAAAAAGUGACGCUCCGAGUCGGACGAUUUCUAAAAACACUGGAAAUUAGUAUAUUAUUGCGUUCGACUUGCCUUAAAAACCGAUUUUUAGACGACGUGUUAUACGCACCCAAUAACGGACUCUUAUAUUAAUAAAACAGUCUCCCUAAGACGGCGUCUUUCGUUCGUAUGAUUCCCAUUUCAAAAGCUCCGGUUUGCACGAAAACCCCUCUUGACCGUGUUCGCGGAUUCCCUUUCAAACGAAUUUGUAUGUCGGGAGGUUUCGUAUACGUUUAUAUAUAUAUAUGUACCUAAUACGUAUUAUGCGGAGGACUCAAACUAAAGCAGGAUUAACCGAUUUUGCGGGGUGACGUAGGAUCUGCGGGGUCAUGAGACAUUUUAUGUUGUUCGACUGCCUGGCAAUUCGUUUAGCGGUUUCCCGAGGGACCGAAAAACAAUUCGGAAUAAACGAUUUCGCGUCAAAAUCACACGGCCGAACGCGAAACGACGCACGUUGAAUAGCUAAACACGAAUAUUGCAUUUAUAUGAGAAAAAAUGAGAUGAUAUUGGAGACGGGUGCGGUCACUGUUGUAGGCGAGUAGUUGAGAAGAUGGGAUACAUAAAACUAUUUAAUUUAUACCUGUAACCAACGACGAACCAUUGCGAAGUUUGGUUACACACAUGUUCUGAAAGGCCAUAAUAUUUAUAAACGAUUUACGAUAUGAUUUUAAAACUCUAAUAAACUACAGUGUAUUCAACGAGUUUUUUUUUUUUUUUUGGGCCACUAAAACCAAAUUAAAAUUUGAUAUAGUUUUGAAAUAGAAUUAAUUGAAUUGCAAUAAAAAAAUAAAAUUUAAAAUAACAGAAGAAUUAUUUUUGUACAUUUUUUUUCUUCAUAAUUUUCCAUUCUUUUACGUAUUUCUCAGUUUUGCUCAAUUAUUUAAAAACCAUAAAAAAAUUCGAAAAAAAACUUUUUUAGUCACCAACUAUAUUAUAAAUUCAACAAUAAAUAUCACAUGUUAUUUUUCUAUUGGAACAAUAUUUUUUGUAGAAAACAUACAAGUUCAGUAAUAACCAACAGUUUUUUAUCAUUAGCAAUUAUUAUUAUCGAGCCAAAAAAAUGUGUAUGUAUAUUUUUACCGAGAAAAGUGUUAUUGGCAAGAAAAUCGUCUAAAAAUAAAAUAUUAUUUACGAAGAAUAUAUUUUAUAAAUACAUGCGAACGUUUGAUGUAAAAUAGAAUGCAUAAUAUAUAGUAUUACAGUUAUGGAAAAUAGAGAAAAUAAAAAUGGCAAUUUCUGAACACGAAAACACACUGCUGUUAAGUCAAACAGAUAGAGGAUCGCGAAAACGUUGAUUGCAGGUCAGCAAGAUACCUAUACAUGAGUAUAGCGCGAAUUACUUACUUGUUCGGACAUUUUUCAAUCGUAUAAAAAAAAACUCUUGCAUUCUUCCUGUCAUUUCGGAUCGGUGCUGCAGUGUCAGAGCUAACUAUAGAGUGCGAACUAUUCGCAUUCCUAUUUCACUCUCGAUUUUAAGUUAAAUAAUAAAGUAUAUAAUUGGAAACAACGGAAGCCGUGUAGGUACUGCAGCCUUCAGAGAGCGAAACCCGAUCGGAAUAUUUUUCGGUUCGGACACAAAUCGACGUCCGUAGUCCAGUAGAAAUUUUGAUCAAACCACGUCGCUACACGUAAGUCUCAAAUAAGUAAUUCCGUAUAAAUAGACUUGGUAUAUGGUAUAUAUGUAUACGGUAUAAAAGUAAUACAUUUUCUUAAGCGGUUAAGAGAAACGUAAUAUUAUUAUUAUUAUUAUUAUUAUAUUACAUCGAGUUACCCUAUAAAAAAUAAUAAUUUAUUGUAAUAGGGUAUACGGUAAGUUUUUUGAGCAUUUAGGUUCGUCUGUCUGUCGCGUACAUGCAAUGGGUAAUAUUAUGCUCGAGGAGGGUCAAAUUUAUACCGCCAUGAAGAUAAUAUUAUAUACAUAAUCUAUACGAGUUUAUUGAAGACACGUGUUUCGAAGCGAAACCUGGACGAUAUCAGUAGAAGAACAAAAUAAUUAACGCGUUUGAAAUGUGUUACUAUACAGAGAAUCUUAAGAAUAAUCCGGGCUGAGCGGAUAUAUCGAAUGAAAAAGUACUAAUUAUAGAGUAUAGAUAUAGGAAAAAAAAACACUUUAAUUAUGGUAAAGUUUGAUAAGAAGACGAAAUGGCUAAAUCGGCCGUCGUAUACAACAUAAUUAGAAAAUCAGCCACGAAAGUCGGUUGAAACCGAUUGUAGGGGUUAGCGCCGAAGGGGAGAAUCGCGUAUAUAGGAAGACCUACAGGCUGAAAUAUAUACGUAUUAUAUAGAAAUCGGAUCACGAAGGUUCGUAUAUUUGUCAAAGUUUCGCCCGAAAAUAGAGAUUAUUUCACUGUAUUGUAUAUUGUGUAUAAUAUAUAUUUUUUCCUCUACUUUUGGUGUGUUUAUAGCCGUCACUUCUGAAUCAAAUAAUUUCGGAUUUGGGAACUACAGUUGUGUUAUAGGCUGACAACAUUUUGGUUGAAUUUCAAUAAGAAUUUCAGCAUGUCGUUGCGAAAAAGUGUAGGGUUUAGCUUUGUGUAGCCCUUAAAACUUGCCAAAUAAUAGGCAGGGGGAGAGUCGAAAUUUUACAUAUGCAUGAUGCAAGUACCGAGGAUUUCUUUGCAAAACCGUUUUUUAAACACCCUAUUAACAAAACACGCCGUCGAUAUUAUUAGGAAUAUUUUCCAUUAUUAACGAUAGGUAUAUCUUUCCGUAAAAAUAAAACGAUAAGAUUCGGAGAUCCUAUACGUGUUACGUAGCCUGUGCAUAUAGGGCCCGGAAAUCCUGCGUAAGGAUAUAGCCGGCGAGUCGUAGGAUCCCUGUGAUGAUCAAAGACCACGUGUUUUAGAUUCUAAGUGGAGCGAAGUAUGGUUUUACAAAGAUGUUUUUUUUUUUUUCUAUGGAUGAUUUUCCUACCCGAAGACGUGCUCCGAUUUUAACGUGUAGCACUUUUUCUGGUAAAAAAAACCGGUAUGGGAAGGUACCUUACAGGUUAUUUUUCAAUUUUCUCAAGAGUUGUCUCGUCAAAUGCGAAAAACCGAAAGAAAAAACGGGGAAAUGUACGAAAUAUAUUUGUAUAAUAUUACGAUAUUUUUUUUUUCUCUGGACAACUUUUCUAUCGGCAAUUUCGCUCCAACUUAUAACGAUGGCAAUUUUCUAGAAGGAAAUUUCACCGCGGAGUUACUUUAAAGACGUGGUUUUUCGAUUUUCUCCGGAGUUUUCUCGGCAAAUGUGAAAAACUGGGGAAAACCUUGGGAAAACCGGGGAUAUCGGUACAACUUUAAACAGAUAUUAUUAAAGAAAGUAUAUAGAGCCUAUUUAAUUAUUUUACUAUAAUAUGGCGUUUAUCAUAUUGUUGACAAAGCAACACUGUCGACCGAACUCCUCUCAGAAUGGUUUUUUUUUUUUUUUUUUCGUAAUCAAUGGUUUAUCGUCUUUUUUUCUUCCCCCCCCCCCCNUUUUUUUUUUUUUUUCGUAAUCAAUGGUUUUUCGUCUUUUUUUCUUCCCCCCCCCCCCCAGCAGUCGAUUCGGCGCUUCACCCGUUCACACAUCGCUUUUCGGUAUAGAUUACAAUUAUUACGCGCGACGGUCCAAUAAUUGCUGCGCCCGGGCCCAGGAGACGGGUGGCGCGACCGCGUCGAAUACACAGAGGUCCGUCGUCAUCGUCCGCUAUCGCUGCACGCGCGCCCGUACCCGGUGUUGUGACGCGGCCAACAAUGACCCUUGCCCCGCGUUACCCGAACCCGUCCGGUAGUAAGGUGUAACUGUGCCUGAUGAACAUACGCCUAUCCAUUGGCCCGCGGGCGCGUCGCUGUGUAAUGCAACGCGGAACAUUUGUUGUUCGAGAGAUUAUCGAUUUCGGGAAAGCGCGGACCGCACACCGCGAUCGCGAUUACAAUAAUAUUAUAACAAUACACGAAUAAAAAACCAACGAAAAAUUACCGGUAUAAUUAUUAUAAUAUUAUGUACGAUUAUCGAUUGGGUAAUUAAAACGGUUUUAUGUGCGUACGUGAUUUCUCGCACAUUACAAAUAAUAUCAUCGCGUUCGGUCAGUAACACGCAACGCCGUUUAAUUAAAUUCGGGAUUCACGAAUAAAUACGAGUUGUUAUUCGUCGCGUCAUGACACGCGGAACGCCGCAGAAGAGAGGCGAGUAAUAAUAUCGAUAACGAGUAUGAUAAUAGGCUCGAUAGAAAAAAAAAAAAAAAAUGAUUAUUAUAUCAUGUACGGCCGUCGGCUGUAGGACACGGGGGCAAAAAGAGAAAAAAAGUCCGCGCUAACCCACCCCCCUCCCCCCUCACCGUUCUCAUUAGCACAAAGCGGUUGUUAAUCGAUUGGAAUAAUAAUAAUUAUUAUUAUCUUCGGCCCUACGCACUUCGUCUUUUGCGCUUUAUAGAAAAAAGAAAAAAAAAACCCGUUCGCGACGUUUUAUUUAUAUACGACACGAGUGUCGAGGCGAUGGGAGAACGAAAAAAAAAAAAAAAACCACCGUAAGAUACGUGCCCGGACGCAUCGCUCGGAUUACAACGUGCCGCACCAAUUAGCCGCGGUGCGGGCGCGGUAGCGUAACAUUUUCUUUUCAAUCCGUACGGUCCCGCGCGUUUUUCGAAUUUCGACGCGCGGUCUGUCGUCGCGUAUAAUUUCGACCGAACGGCCGCUGUUUUUCCGCACGGUUACCGUUGUAUAUGUGCGCGCGCGCGCUCGUUUCCCCCCCCUCCCCAUAAAACACCGCGUUACACAAUUUUACCAAUAACACCGAUACCCAUGCGCGCGCGAAGCGAUGCGCGCGGCGUUCCACACGCGGCGCUUGAGAAUUCGCCCUCGUUUGUCGUAUCGUUUCCGAAACGCGUGAUUGUGUCGUGGUUAUUGGGCGGCGCCUGUUUUUAAACACGGUCAAACACGAGAGCGCGCGUCUGCGCCGGGUACGCGCAAAACGUUGCGUCGCCGUAACGUACAACCGUUGGUGUGUCGCCGCGGUUUUCCGACACGCGAAAUCGCGCUACCAAGAGACGCCGAACAACCGCCACGGCCGCGGCGAGCGGUCAGCUACGCCGGUAAACCGGCCGGUUGCGAUAAGACGGCGAGCGCGUAGCGGAGAGCACGGCGGCCGUAUUGUUUCGGACGGUCGGACGCGUUCGGGGCGUUCACACGACGAAAUGAAUUGCCACGCGCACGGAUCAAGAGCAAAGAUCUGAGGGGGCGGUGGGUGGGGGGGGGAAGGUGAGAGAGGAAAGGACCCGACAGUUUUUUCACAACACGAAUACAAUUAAAAUAUAAUUGCAUACAUUGUUGUACGUUAUUUUUGCAUGCGCAUCAGUGAUUGGAAUAUGGUGGCAUCGGGAUUUAUAGAAUUAUGGAAAAAAAAAAAAAAAAUCGGAGAAAUAACAUGUCUGAGGAGAGUGGCCCAGGCCCCCUUUGGAUCCGUCCCUGAACGGACAUAAUAGUCGAUGGUACGGGCGUAUAAUACACAGUGACGUACGUAUUUUUCAAGGCGGAAUAUUGGCCGCGAAAAGAAAAAGAUACGGGCGUACGUGACACGCACGAUGGACGGGCUGUUGCAUGCGAGUAGUCGGGAAGGUAUAGUAGAUGGGAAAUUUAAUGUACGCAACGAUUAACCGUCGCUAACGAAAACGAUUCUGAGCAGAGUACGGUUAAUAGCGUUGCUUUGUCAACAAUAUAUAUAUAUGUUAUACAUUACGGUAAAAUAAUUACGUUUGUAUUAUAUUUUUAUUUUUAUAAUAUUUGUUUAACAUCGUACCUUUAUUCUCCUUAAAGAUUUUCGGUCGGAUUUUCUUUUAGAAAAAAAACGAUUUGCUUGAAAAUCUGAAUAAAAUUUCUGGUAUAGAAGCGUUGUUCACGCAAAAUAAAAAUAAAAACAUUGUAAAACCAAUAUAUUCCUCGCUCCGCUCAGAAUCCAAAAUUAGUAUUAAAUGUUCUCAACAAUUGUGAAAACUAUAAUGGCCUCUUUUACUUCUUCGUCUUCUUCUCGUAUCCGAUCGGUGUUUGCACGUGCAUCUCAAUGAGCCAACAUUGCGCGAACAUAACUCAUUCCCUUGUAAUUACAUUACAAUUCCUUCAACAAGUUAAAAAUUCGAGUCGACUCUGAGUUUAAAGUUUAAAUCCUUGAAACAAUACGAUAUUCUUAACCGCGUGUCUAUCGUAGAUAAUUUGCAUUUCAUGUACCCAAUCUCCUUGGUCCGCCUCGUCCGUUGUGAGCAGGCCAUUAUUCCGUUUUCCGUGUCUUUUGACAAUCUAUUGCUAUUGAGUAAAUAACAUUAGUUUUAUUAUUUCUAUAUUUUUUACGUUAAAAACUGCGUGUUACCAAUUUUAUAGAUGAUUGCAUCUUACAAAUUUUUCCUAUAUCUAUGUUUUCGGUAAAUCGUUACUUCGCAUAAUUAUGUUCCAACACGUAAAAAAAAAAAAAAAAAAUGUUUAACGACCGCGAAAAACGUUCAAAAAAUUUCAAUGAAAACAAAAAAAAAAAAAUAAAAAAAAAACUGCUCAAUCAUGAACUUUAUUUGGUAUACUAAAAAUAAAAAAGUGAUAUGAAAAAUGAAAAAAAAAAACGCAUCGUCUUCUGUUAAUAUUCGUAAUAUUCGCGGAUACUUUUCAAAAUGUUUUCUCCCAUAACAAUACGACGGUGUACGUAAAUGUGGUGACGGCGACGAUAAAAAAGUAAAUAAAUACAUUUUUCGGCGUUUAUUAUAUUUAUAUCGUAUAUACAGGGAGAUCAACAUAUAACGUAGGUAAUGACCACACAAUUAAUGUUUUACCCUCUCCCUGGCUACAAAACGACAAACUUAAAAUGUGAAAUAUCAUCUCGUAAACGUGUCAUGGAAACCGACAAUUUCAACACCGAAAUAUAUUUAAUUAACUUAUACUUAAUUUAUUUACGGAAUUUCUCUUAUAUCAGUUGCCAUUCGAAGAUCAAAAGUGGGUAUUGGAUCCACCCCCGAAAAUAAGGAUAACAUAAAACAACGGUUACAUUUUAUAGGAGUGCUAGUUGUUUUUUAAAUUUUCCGAAAAAAAAUUUCGAAAAAUCUUUAGACGAUUUACGUUAUAUUGUUCACUUCAGCGGUCCAUCAGGACUAUCCACUUUUCAAAAAAAAAAAAAAAAAUCUGUGUUAUGUAAUUACUACCACUGCAGUUAAAAAACGAAUUUUCUACGUAGAAAUAAAAACAGAAGGAUUUUAUAAUACUUUAGACGUCAUUUUUAUGCUCCGAAACGAACAAACGUUGUUUUAAUUUGAAAAUAAUGAUACAUGGUUAAUAGAUACACAAUAUAUAACCCAACUUUAGAAGCUUCGGACCUAACUCCAACAAAAUUUAUAGAUGGCAAAAUAAUUUGUCGCUAUGUCGAAAUAUCUUAUCUGUCGAAUGGGUUUAUUACCGAAUUGAUAAACGCCCAAUAACGACUGAGUAAAAUCUUAAUACAGAUUCUAAAUUUUAAACAGUUUAUUCCGCUGGGUAAAAAAAUAAAAUAAACAUGUGUGUAACAAGUUUACUUGAAUAUACUAACAAAAUCAACAAAAUUAUUAUAAUAUAUUCCGUCCAAACGUAUCGAGAUUAACCUAAAAAAAAAUAUGUCUAGAUACGCCACUGUGGAUCGCCCUGUAUACUGCCGAAGUGUAUGUGCAGUGUUAUUAUUAUCGUUGUCGUACCCGAGAGUCGCUCUGUUACGCGAGACACGUUCUUCGCACUGUGUAUUUCAUUUUUCACUUAAGGCACUCGUUCGCAGCCUUCUUUAUAAUAUUAUCAUCGUCCGCACAGUUACUAUAAUAUACUCCCGUCGGCUAUCGCUCACGAAUUCGUCAAAAAAAAAAAAACCCGUCUUAUUGUUGUGGCUGGAGGUAUGGGACAGCGCGGUACUGGAUUUAACUGUUUAAUAAUCGCGCGUAGUCAUCGCCCGUCUCGAUACAAUUAUUUUUAAAAAUAACACAGAACAAAAAAUAGAUUACGUUUAGAAAUAAUUUCAAACUGGAUGAUAAUACUACAUAUUGCCCAGCCCAUAUCAUAAUCAGAGAUUGGCUAUGACCGUACGAACCAAACCAAUAAUAAUAUUGUUACAUUUUCCGAUUUUUCUAAUACCCUGUCGUAAAAAUUCCGGACGUUAACCACUAGCGCUAUUAGUUCACUCAGUCGCCACAAUUAUAUUAUAGCAAAAUGACGCGUCCCAUGAAAAACGCUGAUAAGAGCAGUUUUUUGAUCUCUUAUAUUAUACAGACUCUAUAGAACUAUCCAUAAACAUAAGAAGAAUUAACCAGGAAUCACGGCCGUUUUACGUGUAAUACCAAAUUAUUGAAGGCAGCAGAAUAUAUGCGAGGUAAGGAUUUCCUCGUGGCAGAACAAAUAUCUAAUGGUUUUUAUUUUUCCAUGAUAAUUAUAAAAUAGUUAAGUAUGAAAAAAUACUGACUUAACUUUUACUGUAAUAAAAAAAAAAAGUCUGAGUCCGCGAUUUGUAAUGACAAAUACGGAUUAUUGCAUUCAUAAGACUACUAUAAGAUACCAUAAGAUACUAUUAGUAGUCUAUAAUAAGUACGUAUAAUACCUAUUUACUGCAUUUAGAUAAUCUUUGAUAAAACCGCAAAUGCGCUGUUUGUAAUACAACAAUGGUUUUAUGAUCAUUACCGGUCGAUUUAUCUUAAUAUGUCUAUGGGUUUACCUUUAUUCAUAUUUGAUCAAUUUUAUCGAGUAAACACGCCCACAAAAAAAGGUAAAAUAUGAUAAAUCCGUCGCUUACCUAUAUAAUAUAAUAGACUGCACUGCGUGAUUCGGUGGCGAUCAAAAUAUGCAAAAAAAAAAAACCGUUAGUUUAGUCCUCGAGUUAAGCCGGCAAUAACAGAGUGAGAGUGCACCAAAUAAUAUUAUCGUUUAUACUGCACAUUAAAACGUUUUUAUAAACUACAAUAUACACAGUAUUGUUUUCGUAAUGAUUCGAAAAUGUAAUCGACGGGUAGAAAAAAUAACGAAAUUAACAAGACACGAACAAACUUUAGCUGGGUAAUCUUAAAACAAAAUAUAAAUUAUAUAAAUACUAUACGAAACAAAAUAUAUUGAAGAUUUGAUCAAAACAAAUAGAAAUAUGAAGACUGCUUUACGCGAUUGACGCUUGAAAUAAUAAUAUUAUUAUCUAAUUGUAUUAUUUAUUUUUUAUUUUUUUAUCAACUGAUUUGGUUCUUAGUGAGAGGAAUGUAUUGGUUUUACAAUGAUGUUUAUUUUUUUAGUGUGAACCAUUUUUCUACCAGAAAGCAUAAUCUGAUUAUCAAAUACAGCACCUUUUUUGAAAGCAAAUGUUUUCUGUGUGGUACUUAAAAGUGGUCAUUUUUUUUAAAUUCUCGAUAACAUUCGAGAUAAUGAGGAAAACCUGGUUUUUUGGGUUAAAAACGAUUGGAAGAUUAAAAAACGGCUCUCAUUGGCAACUGUUUUGAUUUAUUUUUUGUUAUUAUUAUUUAUUUUUUUUUGUUAUUUUAAUAUUUUUGAAACAAUCAUUGUUGUCGUGGAAACGCAUAUUGUUGUUAUCAUUUAGUGUAAUAUAUUCCGUAUAUUAUAUUGUUGCCAAAGCAACACUGUCAACUGAGCUCCGCUCAAAAUCGUUUUUUCGUUAGCAAUGGUUUAUCGUUGCUUACAGAUGUACAUUAAAUUUCCGUCUGUAUCCUAACUUCCCAACUUCCCACCUACAACAGUGGUGCACUCGCAUGCGAUGUAUGUCCGUUUGUUUUAAUAAACUUCAAAAAAUUUUCGCUAAAUUCGUUUCUCUGUUUUCAUCGAAUUCGAUUAUAGGUACGUAAUGUUAUUUUUAUACGUGAUAUGACGUCGACUUUGUUGAACGCUUCGGACCGAGGUUUUGAAUGGAUGAUUCACCGCUGGUAAAUCUGUCUGUCAGGAUUUUUUUUUUUUUUUUUAUUGUCCACGUCUGGCUCAUCAUCGCGUUUACGCGGUCAUCGUGCGCAGCACGUGCGUCAAAACGUACGAAUAAAUUAGCGCCGUUCGUAAAAUAAUAAUGAUAAUAACAAUAAUAAUCAUAAUCAUAAUAACGAUAACUACGAUAAUAAAUAUAUGACGUGUAAUACACAUAAUAUUUUAUAUAUAUAUAUAUAUACAUAUAUACACGUAUAUACGUAUAAUAUACAUAGAGUGAAUCGUCGUCGGGGGAUAGACGAACGCGCGACGGAGGUUUAGUUCGAUUUGUCAAACGUGCUCGUUUUGCGAAAUAAACGCGUACCCGGGUCUCGUAAUGAGCCAAACCCAUCCCUUCGUGCCCCUACCACCGGGUAUAGGAGCCCAUCGUAUAGUCCGGUCACGUACUUCGGUCACCCUCCCCGGCGAUGGCGUUUUCCCCGUGUAUAUACUAUACGUAUAUAUUAUAUAUAUAUAUAUAUAUAGGUACGCGCACACACCCUGAUUGGAAAGAAGAAACGUCCGUAUUUCCCUGUAUACAUAUACAUAUAUAUAUAUAUAUAAACGACCGAACGGGUACAAUACGUUUGAAAACGGGGUGCAGUUACGGCGGUGGAGAUUUCGAAAAUUGUUUUUUUUUUUUCCCCAGUCCAAUAUGUCCGAAUGGAAACGAGCAGAAAUGAAAAUGUUAAGGUGUUACCGGGUGUUAGAUAGGUAUAUAGCGACGAAUAAAUAUUGUAUUAUAUAGAUUACAACGACCGGUGUAUGUAGUAGGAAAAAUAAAGAAAGCCAGAGAAACGAUGAGAUAAUAAAUAUGCGGACACCGGGUAUGACGCUGAAGAAAUAGUUGUCAUUCGAGGUUGAGAUACGAUGGCAUAUUAUGGGGAUAGUAUAUACGAGAAAAUGGUGACGGAUAAUAUGAGGUGACGCGGAGCGGAAGCUAAGAGGGUUGAUGAUCACAUCGCAUGCGUGAGAAAAAAGUGAUACUGGUGGGACAAGUUAGAAAUUAAAAUAGAUCGAGAAAGAGAAACGAUUGGAUAUAGUCAAGAAGUCGAGUGGAAUAGGUGGGAUACUAGAUGGAGACCAUAAAAGAGAAAAUAACUAAAGAAAAAAAAAAGAAGAGGUUAUCAGGAGAGAUUAAUGAGGGUUUAUAAGUGUAGUGUAGACGAGAAAAUGGCGACAAGUAUAUUUGGUAUGCGAUGUGAAAGGCGAGAAUAAGAGUUUAGUUGAACCCGACGCGCAACGGCCCCAUGAACAAACGUCGAAGGAAGAGAAUUGUUUAGGUUAUAUUAGUGUGGUUUUUUUUUUUUUUUUUAGUAAUUGACCAAUUAUAUGAUAAUUUACCUCGAACAUCAUUGAAAAAAUAGGAAAUUCCAUUUUACUUCGAUAACAUCGUUUGUUUUUAUUAUUAUUAUUAUUUUUUUUUUUUUCUGGUCGUAUUCCAUUUAAAGGAUGAAAAUCCACAAUCGUUUGUAAACCGUUGACCGGAAACCGGAGUUUUUACCGCGCCGGAAAUUUCGUCGGAAAUUACCGUUUUGUAUACAUAGAGCAUGCAGAAUAUUAUUAUAAGAAAUCGUGUUCAUUUGAAUUCCGGACGGCGCGGCGUGGUACGAUGAAACUACGUGUAAUAAUAUUAUCGAAUGAUAAAGUUUUUACGACUUGCUGUACGACGUCGUGGUCGUGUCAGAUUAGGAAAAAUAUAAUACAAAUUUAGUCUUGAUUAAAAAAAAUAUAACAGCCGUAAUAUUUGUCUAGGAAAACAGGCGCCGUGAACCACACGAACUAUCGUUUUUGAAAUAAUCGCGUUUUUAGACUUGCUUAGCCCAAAAACACUAUAUAAUUUCGUCAUGUCCGCUGUCUCAAAAUUCUUACGACUCCGUCAUUUUUCCGUCAUUUCGAUGAAAUUCUACGGAAAGGUGUGAACCUAUCCAUACAGAAUUGCGCAAUCAAAAAAUUUAAAAAAAUUAUUCAGGGGUAGUUUUCUGUACGUAGGAGGUAAACAUUUUAUUUUUCGCGUGCCCUAUUGUACGGCACAACGUCGAAAUUCAUACGGGAACCUUUGAAACUACACACUCGGGGAUUCGUAUUGGAUCCAUUUUCUAGCAACAAGGCAAACAGGAAGAAGAGAUUAAGACGAGAAAACAAAAGUGGACAAUAGACCAAAACAAGCCCAGAUUAUUUAAAAAUCAUAGAGUCGAAUGAAAUCCGGAUUUUGUCGACGGGCUCGCGUAAUCACAAAGUAAAGAAAAUGGACAAAAAAAAAAACGCCAGAAAACAGGUAAAAAUAAUUUUUGUAAAAACUAUAUCAAGCAAAAGAAGAAAAAAAAGGCACUUUCAAGUUUCAUAUUUAAACUCGUUGUAACAACGUGACAUAAACGUCCGUACAGUACUCCGUUUUAGAUUUAAUGACACAUAGAACAAACUCUAGUUACGGGCAUUUUAUUACGCGGUACAUUUUAUUACACUCGUUCGCAACGACAUGACCGGGACGACGGGGCUUAUCGGUGGAACGUAAAAGAAACAUUUCCCCCUCGAGGUCUUUCGACAAUAUUCCACAGCAGUGUGUGCGGUUUAAUGACGUCUGCGCGUUGCGUUGUUUUAGUAGUACAUGUAUGGUUGAAAUUUCCAAAAAGAAAAAAAAAUACCGCGCAAUUGUAGUAAAUGGCCCGUUACGGCGAGCAAUUUAUUUUGUCGUUAAAUGAGAAAUCGGGCUCCUCGGAAAAAAAAAAAAAACAAAAAUAUAUAAUAAUAAUGAUAAUAAAGGUUGGCGCCGCGAUCUAUCGAGCGGUUUCGCGGCUUUUUCGGAGGGAAAAAACGAAAAAAACCUAAAAACAAAAAAAAAAAAAACUACGGCGAGCAAUAUUUUCCCAAGAUAAAACGAUUUACGGUCAUUACUCAUUGUAGCAAUAUUGUUUGUUUUAUAUUUAUCGUUCAUUCCGUACGCCACUAUAUAGUAAUAGAAUAUCGGGCGCGUACGUCUCUCGACCGAUUUCCCGUAGUCGGAUAAAAUCGAAUUCUCGGCCACGUUUUAUGCGCGUGUAACGCGUGUCCGUAUAACAUACGCAUACCGUUAUAAAUAUUAUAUUGUUUACAGCCGAAACGAUCAUGAUUACCAUAGUGGUUACCUGCGAAUAUUUCACGUGGAAAUGUAAAAAAAAAACAAAAGCAACUAAAAAACAUUUAAUUCAUUAUUUGAUUGAGACAAAUUAUUUGCGUUGUGUUUUGAAACGCACUACGGUCAUCGGUAUCGAUAACUCGUAAACAUAGUGUAAUUUGAAAACGAGUCGACAUUUUUCGAACGUUUAAAAGUUGUACUAACAAUAGAUAGACCAUCUAUUGUUAGUACAACUUUUAAGUCUGUAAGUGUUUUAUUUUCAAAAAACAAAGACUGGAGUAGAUUCGGAAAUUGUAGAGGGUGUACGUUAGUUGAAGAUGACUGGUAUUAUCAAAAUAGAUAUGAAUAAUCAAAUUGAAAAUCGUUAACAUUAACACUGUCGAAAUCCGUCUAGUUUUUGUUUGGUUUUGUUUUUAUAACCGCGAUAAAUUUUAAGAUCCAGGCUCCAGGACCAUAUCGGGGUACCCACAGUAAAAAUAAAAAAAAAUAAAUAAUAAUAUUAAAAAGUUUCACUCGUAAUACUAUCGCGGAUUUCCCGACCCCGAAACGUCGUCCCUGAAUACACACCGAGCAAUAUUGUAAUAUACCACCGCUCUCGCGGUAAAAUGAAAUAUUAAACCCCUAUUUACGUAUUAUACCACGUGUGUGUGUGUAUGUGUGGGUGUGUGUGUGCACGUGUGUUUGAGUAUAUAAUCACAUUACGUACCCACAUAUUAUGCCAAAAGACAACGGAUUUCGUAUACCGUGUGCAUAAUCGAAUUCGGGCCUCCGAAAUAAUACUGUCGUCCGACGUGCGUACGGGUAUUACGAGAGAUUAUCUUUUUGCCGAAAUUCCGCUGUAAUAAUAUAAUAUCAUAUACGGAUACCUUUCUUUUACAGAUCCGGCGAUUAUCUACGAAGAUUUCGUUCAAAAUCGAUUUUGUUUUCUGUUUUCCAGUCAUAACACAGAAUCGUACGAUGCCGAUUUAUCAAUAAAAAUAUAUUUUUCAACAAUUUUCAUCGCUCCCCCUCCCCUUAUUCCGCACUACUCCAUAUAAACACAAAUCGGCUUUUGAUUUUCAAAUAUACAAUAAAUCUCUAAUUUCCAAAGAGAAAAUACUUUUCUUAAAUCUUAAAUUAAGGGGAAGGAGCUAGUUAUUUGAGAAUUAAAAACAAAUUUACUCAUUUAUUAUAGAGGUUUGAAAAUCGUUUUCUUCUCCUAUGCUUUCAUCCCGAAUUAUUUGUAGUCGGCCACCCUCGUCCUAAACUUCUACUUGACCCGAUCUUCCUAAACUGUCGUUGCAAACACCUACCGUUCUCAUAAUAUAAUUCUCAAUCGCAUCCAACCACAACCUUCGGUCUUCCUUUUCUCCUUUUUUCUCCUGCGUUUAUUUUCGAGUUCCUCUUUCUUCAUGACACGUCCGAACCGUAUCAGUCUAGUUUCUCUCAUUUUAUCUACUGCUGAGGCCACGCCCAAAACUACAUUUUACGUACUCAUCGCUUAUCCAGGAAGUUUGAAAAUAUAGCGUUAAAAUAAAAUUUAAAAAAAUCCACAAUUAUUGAAUGGGGAGGGAUAGAAAUAUGAUUUUCGUGAAACCUUUCGAGAAAAUAGCACGUGAUAAAACCAAUGAUUUCGCUACGAAACGUUUGGAAAAAUUGCCCGUCAAUAAUAUACCUAAUAUUACAUAGGUGUUGGUAUAGUGAUUCGAGACAAAAUUAUUGAAAAAAAAAAUAACCACCGCUACCGCGUAUAACCGUUUUUUUAUCGUAUUCGUGUACAAUCUCGAGUCGUCGUGCGAUUAAUUAAACGCGACCGCUUAUAACAAUAUUGUUUUAUGUAAAACCCACCGUAUAUAAUGUAUGGGUAAUACUUGAAAGCAUACACGCGCAUUAUGAUGAUAAAAAAGCGCCGGAAAAAUUUAACGAACGCGGUUGUUUAAAAGUUUUAACGGUUCAAAAGGUCUUAUACAUGUGUAGGUGUACGAGCUCCGAGCGUUUAUUGUUUUCGUGUGAGUGUGUAUACGCGAAAGUUUUUAGCUCAGCUCUCGUACACAAUGUUAAACACGUACGAUCGGUUUCGAGCGUAUAAAAUACAUAUACAAGAGUAAAUAAAUCGCUCGUUUUAUUAAUAAAAAAAAAAAAAAAACACCGCGGGAUUGGCGUGUUUUCAACAGUCGGACUGUGAAAUUAUUAUUAUAGUUUUUUUUCGAAUUUAAAAUACGCGUUUCAAAGUUUAAAAACCAUUAAAUUUCGUUCGGGAAAAAAAUCCCCGACUUUUACCGAAACGUGUUUCGUUUACUUUGUAAGUUAUAUAUUUUUAUAUACGUUUGACGUUAAAUUCAUAAGUCGGCGAUUUUCCUUCGUUUUUUUAUGUCUGUAGAUAAUUUUUCUAGACAGAUAUUUUAUGAAAACCGUAAAAAUCGCGUCAUUUCAAUACAACGAUUAACCGAACAUUACUCAGAAUCGGCUUUGGUUAUCAAUAUUUUGUUUUGUUUCCUAAAUGUUUUAAAAUAAUAAUGUUUUCGCAUAAAGCUAAUGUUUUGCAAAAAAAAUAAAACAUGAAUAGAUAAAUUAAGAGUGGAAAUAGCAGUAAAUUCGAAACACCAUAAACACGCGGUACCCUUGGGAUUGGAGGGGUGGAGGACUGCGUAUUCUGUACAUUAAUAUUCUGAAAAGCCACGGAAAUUAUCAUUUUCGAAAAUCUUAACCCCGAGGAUAAAAUAUUAUAAUAAUUUACAAUGCUUCGAAUGAAAUAUUAAUAAUUUAUUCGGAUUAUGAGUUUUCGCGAGUCCGGCCGCGGUGAUAUUGCGCGCGAAAAAUAAUAAACUCUCGCGGUUAAACAGUUUUUAAUUUCGUUUAAAUCGAAUUCACGUUUAAUGUUCGACAAUAGAGUUCAAAGGUUUCGAAUGAUUGUAUUAAUUUUUAAAAAUAUAUUAGGGCGGUCGGGACGGUUAUUUUUUUUCUUUAGAAUUCCGAUUAUUUUUUUGGUAAUUAAUGUUUUUAAAUAAAAUGUUUUUUUUUUCUUUUCAUCAAUAGUUUUUAACAGUGUGUAAACAAUUUGUUUAUAAAGAACAAUCAUAUUAAGUCAUUCACUAACAUUUUGAGAAAAUUUCGGCAGAUCUACCGAGAGAGUGAAUUGCAUUGAUUUAUCCAUGCAAUAUAUUUUGUUUAUUUCCAUGAACUUAGUACGUACAAUAUGGCUGUCGAUUUUUUGUUUGUCUUCUACUUCACUGUAUCGACUAUAUAAUAUUAUAAUAUAUUGUAGGAUAUACAUAUCUUUACAAAAAUUACGAUAUAGCUCUAUUAAUACUAUUGCUGCAAAAAUUUAUUUGGAUUGAUGGAUGGUUGGAUAUUUGUUAACCCUUUACACCAAAAUUACCGAACGAAUUGAGCUGAAGCUUUCCACAGAUGUAGAUCAGAAAUACCAUACAUAUAUUAAACCUCUAUAAUGUUAUUGGUAUUUUUGAUACGAAAAUCGAAUUAUCUUUGUUGAUUUCUGAUUUACCUUGAUGACAUAUGGAUGAAAUGUUAAAAAAAAAAAAAGAACUGUUAUUAUUAUUUUAUUCGGUUGUCGCAGACUCGAGGUGAAGUAUACUUUUAUUUAAAACGUAAAUCAUACGCUUAACCACUAUGCGGAUAAGGGCUGUGAUGGGAAUCACACGUUAAAUCGAAUUUCUUUUAUUAGUUUCUGUUUUUAAAACGAUUGACCCCGCGAGCCCGGGCUUGGCUACAGCGCAUUGUUAUUAAGUAUAUUUCGAUUUUCUAUCCGAAAUUUUUUCCGUCACAAAGUAGCGUUUAUAAUAUUACUCACUUAUAUAUACUCUUGUCAAAGGGCUUGGUCAUACGCAGUACCGCAUAAUAACGAUUUAAACUCUGGUAAUACACCACGUACUCCGCAGUAAAUCGGUCGUAUAUUCAUCGCGUAAACGAAUUUCCGUGUACUAAAACCAUAAAUCACGGAACUCAUUUACCAACACGUACGACUGUACGAUGUUUAUUAUGAUUUUGUACUUAAACAUCAAAAAGCGCGCGUACGGAUGUACGGAAUUACUCUCUUCAAACCCAGUUAUACUCAAUAAUAUACUUUUGACUUUAUAUCGUUUGUUUAUAAGUACGCUGUAUUUGUUGUAACGCGCGUGCGUAAAUACUAUAAAACAAAGUAAAGCAUAUAAUAAUAUCAAUGUAGUGAUAAAAUCAUAUGGUACAGCGUUCUGUCGUUUUCGAUUUACAUCGAAAUAUAUUUCAGAUUCCGAGGGGAACGAAGAAUACGUACUGCAGGUAUUGCACUAUGAUGUGUGAUUUUUUUUUUUUUUUUUUUUAGAUCCCGAGUACUUGUAACGAAGAAGGUAUUAGUUUUACAGAGACGUGUUUUUGUUUCUUGUCGUGUUUUUUCCUCGCCUCAAAAUAUGCGGAUGUAUCACCUGACGGUACUGCGUUGUUUAUUCGAACAAUCAAUUUUUCGAAAAUCUCAAUACUCUUUCCAACCGUCAAUUGCUUUUUGUUAAAUAUUUUUUUUUUUUUUUUAGUCAGGAAAACGCUUCAAUAAUUUGUCCAACCCUUCCCAUCGAAAAAUUGUAUGUACGUCACCGUGUAGGUAUGAUGUGAAAAUCUUUUGAGCAAAAUUUCCCGCGAGCCAACGUUCGUGUCACGACCGACGAAAUAUUGUUAUAUACGUGCGGCGCUCGUACGACAAUAAUAUAUGAGUAGGUGUACGCAAUACAAUUAAUUAGGAAAGUUUAUAAUCGAAUUAAAAAUAUUAUAAUUUACGUCAUGAUGCUCGUGGUAACCAUAUAAAAUGUUUCGCCAUGAUGAAACGAAACUUUUAUUACGACACGUGCACACACACACACACACACACACACACACACACACACUGACAAACAUUUUCGUUUCGCGCAUAAAUCAUUUUAAACAAUAAAUCGCUAUAUUGUCGUGAAAUUGGCUUGCGUUAACUUGACGGUAUUAUUGAUAUUAUUACCAAUAAAUUUCAUCAUCACUUUGGGUAUAUCCGAAUGCUGUGCGAGUCAUUACGAAUGUAACGAUGUAACUCGAUGAAGUAAAUCGGCCAAAACGUUAACGAGCUAAUUGCGAGUUUUAACGCGUUAAAAAUAAUUACAUUUUUUCCAACCAACUAUAUCGAGUACGUUUCUUUUUUCGGUUUUUCUAUAAUCGAAAAUAACGCAGAACAAACAUUUACGGGUUUGUAAGUGAACAAAUUUAAUAUUGUAAACCGAAAAAAAAGUAGAAUUUUUUAAAUUUUGAACCCUCGACUCCCCCUCUGCAUUAUACGCGCUUGCCCUGAACACAUUAUCGAGUAGACAUAAAAAAAAAAAAAAAAACAAAAAUAUGUACAAAUAAUUUGUAGGAUGUUUCAAAUAAUGCAUGUAUAUUAUACAUCCAGUCAAAUUUAACGAAUUAAAAAAGAAAUUAAAAUCGAUUCAACGUGUUAUUUAAGCGAAAUGUACUCGUUAUUUAUUCUGUUAAUAGGUACGGAACGACAUCGAAUUCAGUUAAACGAAAUAUAUCAAAGGAUAAAAAUUGAAACUAACACGACUUUUAACAUUUCAUAACUCGUCAAGCUUUGAUUUAUAAUCACUAUGUUUUUGUGUGCACAACGAAAUCUCGAAUGCGUGUACAUUGCGAAAAAUUAAAAUGCGUGCCUGCGUUUUUAUUACGGGCAAUAAUUGCGUUCAUUCCUCCACUCACGAUCAACAAAACGCCAUGAAACAAAUAGCCACCGGAUUAUAAUAUAGGUAUCCUAUUCGUCUAAUAAAACGACGACGCGCGCUCCUUACUAUACUUGAAAAAUACGAUUUUCGAUAAUUUUUUUAAUAAAGCUUAAAUUGAUUUUGGUAUUUGUUUUUUUUUUUUUUUUUUUUACAUACAUAAUUGUACCGUGCAAUUUGUUCAACUAAUUAUUUUUUCAGUCUAAAUGAUAUGCGUUUUAUUUUAACACGUAUUGUCCUGCUGAAAAUUAAAAUAUCUCAAGACACUAUACGAUAUUGUAUACUUUUUGUUUAUCAAAAAACUCAUAAGUUAUUUGGCUUAAGAUAUGUCGGAGCAAUUCGACCGUUUAGAAAUUAUGCCGCCCGUAAAAAAAAUAACGAAAUAACUAGAAAAACAAAAAUAACGUGUUUAAAGAUAUCGUUUACAAAUACGAACAAUUAUAUACGUUUACAAGUAAAAAUAUAUUACAAAUUUCUCCUCCAAUUUGAAAAAUCAUUUUAUUCGAUUAUUAUUGACCGUUUUGUUAUUUUGAUUAUUUUUGUUUUCGUUUGGUACGUAUCGAGAAUCGACGGCGCACUUAAUAUUCCGGCGCGUUUAUCAGAUAAACAAAUAUUACAUAAAAAAAAAAAUUCUUUUACGCUGUCGCCGUGGAACGUUCUCAUAAUAAAUCACAAUGGUCCCGGUGAGGUGGCAACGGCGGCGUAAAGGUGAAAACAUGUUAUUAUUACGUUGUUUUUUUUUUUUUUUUUUACUACUCAUUGUUUUACUAAAAUAAAAACUCCAAUAACGGGUAACCGGAGGCGUGGGAUGGGGGGAUAUGAUAUUAACCGCAAACGACGACAACGGUGCGGUUAAAAGAUUAAUGAACACAAACGUAGUGAUUUUUCACCCUUGUAAUCUAUAAUAAUAUAAUAAUUCGCGCCGUGGAAUAAUAAUGAAUAAAAAAAUAAACUCCGAAAACAGAAUCGCUGCGGUUAAUAAACGUUGCGUAGUAAGUGCAUAUAAUAUAUAGGAUUUUUUUCUUCGUUCAAACGCUCGAAUAAACUGUUAUUUGUCUUCAUUUUUUUGUUAUUUUCCAAUUUAAUAAUUACGACACGCAGGCGAACAGUUUACCCAUAAUUGUUUGUCACAAAAUUAUUUUCCCGAGUAAAUCGACAAAUAAUAUAUGACUUUUUAGAUUCUGAGCGAAGCGGCUAUAUUUUAUUAUUUUAGGAUGUGUAUGUGUGUGUAUGUGUGAGUGUGUGUGCUUUUAUUGUGUGUGGGUGAACGAGUUUUCUGCCAGAAAUCCAGUAGGAUUUUGGCAAAUUCUCUGCUAGGAGGUCGUUUAAUGAUUUUCCGUCUAAUUUUCUUAAUAACCAGGGAAACCCGUGAAAAACGGGAAAGUUUACGGCAUUAACAGUUUCAUUGAUUUUUUUUUUUUGUAGUUCAAUUAAAAGCAAUAGUAGAGAAUUUAAUUUUUCGCAAAAUACUAACUUUAACCUUUUCCAGAAGCGGUAAAAUAUUCUAUACAUUUUGGCGAUUUUGAGCUAUUUAUAUGCGCAACUAUACGAGUACAUUUGACAUUUCUUUAGUUUUUAUGUAGGUCACCUUAUACGGCCUUAAAAAGCUUAAAAGUUUCAAACAAGAUUCGUAUAAAUUGCGUUUAGUGGUACAAAAGUUCAAAGUUUACGGUUUAACGAGAAUUAUUGUAAAAAUCACGGAAUUUAAAAAUGCGUGACUUCUGUUAUAGUGAAGUGGCUCAGAAUCGUAUUUUGUUAGCAACAUAUUGUUGAGUACUGACAUUAAAUAACUUUAAUUCUCCUUCCAUUCCAAUUUCCCACUCACAACACUAUUAGCAUUAUUAAAUAAACAGUCAAUACGCGCGACGUGUUUCAAUUUGUCAUUAAAAGACGUGAAAGAGGUUUUUUUUCUUUAAUAAGACAAACAAGUAAAAAAAAAAAACAAAACGAACCGAACGUAUAUUGUAAUAUUUUAAAUUUCCAACUCAUUUCCAUUUAUUAUAUAUACGAAGAUAUACCCAUUGUAAUAUCUCCGGAGUUAAUAAUAAAGAUAAUAAAAUUUUGUUUUUUUUCUUCUUCUUCUAUUACUCACGGGGAUACACACUAGAAAUAUCUAUAUUGCAAUUAAUUUCUUAUGCUUCGAAAAACUAACGUUUUACUUCCAUUAAAUUCGUGAACUUUAAUCAUUUGUUAAAGUUCGGAUAAAAGAAGUGUACAGUCAAUUAAUCGUAAUAAUAACAAUAAUCAAUUAGUGAAUUCGAUUGCGGCAUGUUGCGUAAUUAUAGGUGGUUUUCUCUCUUCAUAGUUUAUCCCAGUGUGUAAUAAAGAAUAAAACAACAAAAUAAUUCGUUUAUCUUUAUUAACUCCGGAGAUGUUACAACGGGUAUAUCUUCGUGGGACACCCUGUAUAAUGUCGUAUAAUAUACUCACCAGCCCACGACAUCCAGUCCACCGCCUUCUUCCGCCCGCCGACUCCGAGCGAAAUAUAAUGUCUUUAUAUAUUCUUUUAGGACGUUAUAUAAUAUUUCCACCCUUCCGAAUCCUAUAAUAAUAUUAUACUUAUACGGUCGACUAUAGUAAUAAUAAUAAUAAUAAUAAUAUCGUCCGUUGUAAUUUCAUAGUUUUACCAAGUUAAAAACUAAACGCCAUCCGUAUAGAAAAUACAAAACUUUACCCCGGACCCUAUAUACUAAAACUUCGGUGCAGUAUUAAUCAUUUUGCAUCCGGACAAAAAAGUUUCCUUUGCGAGAUUUUUCUCGUUUCCCCUAUCUCGUGUAUAUCAUACAGUAGUAGAUACAUCAUGAAAUUGAACUACUAUUCUAUAUUAAUGUCUGUCGUCCGUUUGUCCUGUUCGCGAAUUCGCGAAAGUAUUUUUAUAUAAAUGUCAUUUGAAUAUCAUAAUAUUACUGUCACCUUAAAGAGGCAUUUUCGUUCUGCACAGCCGGUUGAUGCACAAAUGCAAUUUGUUUUACAGUAUCAUUAGUUUAGGGGCGAAAAGUAUUGUAUUAUUUUUGAAGCUUAGUUACUCGUCCGAUACCCAUUUCAGUAAAUUUAGGAGUUGUGUCUUUGAUCCUUCACGAUCAACUGUUUUACAAUAUAUUUCAGUCUUUUUGAUCUUCACACGCGGUUUGUCCUUUCAACGUCCACCUCUACAGUCGAUUUCAACAGAUCUUCGUGUAUAAUUAAUUAUAUGGCCAACCCACUCAAUUUGUUUCCUCAUCAAACUUUUUCAAAUUAAGAUUUUUUUUUUUACGAUACUUCAUUUAGUAUUUUUUCACAUCAUUAUUACCGUUUAUCACAACACUUUAUUCGAUCUAAAAAUUUAAUUUGUUUGUGUAACCGAUUACUUAUUUUGAGUACCGCGAUAAAGUGGACAGAUUCUUAAAUACACGAACAAACAUACUUACAUAAAAAAAAAAAUCCCCCGAAGUCUCACUAGACAUUUUAAACAUUUUAACACAUUUUAUCAUAAUAUUAAAAUAUCCUUUGUUUUAAAUCAAUGGCGUCUGCGUUUUAUUGAUUGUUAUUUAUUUUUCCUCGGCAGUAUAGAAUGGCGCGUGGGUAGCUUAAGCGAAGUGUAAACAUCGAGUUAAACAUUUUACUCGGAACGAUUGCGCAAAGAAAAAAUUUUAAAAUGUAUUAAAACGGUUUUUAAGCGUACAAAACCCCAAAAAAAAUGAAAUAACAAUACUUAAUGGCACUAAGAAAAAUGAUAAAAAAUAGAUUUAAAUAUUUUAGUGAAAUUGUAAAAUAACUUCUUAUAUUUGUUUGCACUCUUGACCGUAAAACAUUUUGUUAUAUGGUAUAUUGAAAUGUAAUGUUUUUACGGGGGCGUUUUGUUUAGUAAACGCAAAGAGCUGAAUCCCACCGAAGUGAUGAAAUAUAGUGACUCAACGGCUGUAUUAUUUGAUAUAGCUUUCCGAAAUUCGAUACAGGAUAAGACGUCAAAAACAUCUGAGGUGCCGUUGAGAACGAUGGAAAUUAAUUUGAUGUCGGCUUUGGGACGGCCGGACGGCGUACGUUUAAUCUGAAUUCGAUAAUAAGCAAUCGCGUGAUGAGAAUUUACUAUUUUCAAGGAUAUACGAAAGAAGCGGACCCGUAGUCGAAAAGGCUUAUUAUAGUUCUGCAAGAACUUAUAAUAUUUUGCAGGACACGUUCUAAUUUAAUUUCGAUUUAUGAUUAGCUUUAGACGAGGAAGGCGAAUAAUUAUAAUUGCACCGUAUUAUCGAAUGUAGAGAUGACAUUGACGCAAAAUAAAGUGUGCGCAUAGGCAUUCAAAGGUGCCGUAGGCGACUUCGUGUUAUACGCUCAAUAAAACCAAGGAUUUUGAGAAUAGUUUGUAUUAACACACCAGUGUAUGUAAGUAUGUAAAAGUUUCAAUUUAGAAAUUUCACAGACUCACGUCAGUGUACGGCGUGUACAUAUACGUAACGUCGUCGGGUAUCCGUUUUGAAAAUAUUAUUGGUCAACUAUAUGAGCACGAUAGCAAACCCUACUCGCGUUACACCGAGUGACGGCCCGGGUCGUAUUUCCCACGAUGACAUUGCGGGGCAGCUAUACAGUACAAUAUAUAUAAGGACGCGUAUCAAAUUUUCCCGGAUCGAUUUAAUAUUCAAAACGUGUCACUCUUGCGUAUACGACACUUGUUUAUUUUUGUAUUAACGCCGCCGAACAUUUUGGCCGUAUAGGAAAGCGCAGGAAAAACAGACAUACGUACAAGAGUUUGCUGCGAAGUUGUUGCGAAGGAAAAGAAAUAACCGCGUGCAUUCUCCGCGAAUGUUCCUGCAGCAGAAACUUGUCAAUUAAACCCCUCGCCCUCUACACUUAAAUCCGCACACACACACACACACAUACACACGCACAUUUCAGUAAGUUUUCUACGUUAGAAAAUGCACGCGUCCAAUGCUUUUUAGAUGUAUACAAAUCUUAUAUGUAUAUAAUGUAUACGAAUAGGAUUGAAUAAAAAAAAUUUUCUUUUUUCUUCUCCCCCCCUUCCUUCUAUCGGUCGUACGCUUACUUCUAUUCUCUCGUCAUAUCUCCUUUGGGGUAACUCUUUGUUGAAAAAGCACUUUGGCUAGUUUGAAUAUUAAAUUCCGUACGUAUACAUACAUUCCGUCCCUACCUAACCGGGGCCGCACAGGAUAUCGCGCGUAGGGGAUAGAACUGAUAGAAUAAACCCGGCGAAUAACUUAUAAUAUUACUGCACGCACGCGUAAAAAUAUUUUCAAUAGCCUCUGAAAAAUAACAAACGCGGUUAGUUUAGCGCGUAAGUUUUUGUAUUGCUCUUAUAUAAAAUUCGAUCGGGCGCAAAAGAAAAAAAAAAAUGAGAGCUGAUACUGGGAAUGGGAGCGGCCACUGUUGUAGGUUAGAAGUUAGGAAGGUAGGAUACAUAAGGUUAUUUUAUUUAUAUCCGUAAGCAAUGAUAAACCAUUGCUUGGUGAAAGACGAUUUCAAGCGCAGUUCGGUAAUAUACAGUUUGAAGUACGAAUAUAAAGAUUUUGGAAGUUCAAUAUAAGUAUUAUUACGAAGUUUCAUGUAUCUACGUGUAUCUAUAAACGAAUUAUAGCAAAAAAACUACCAAAAAUUAAAAUUCCUUAAAAGUUCGAAAUUGUCUCAAAAGUUUUGGUGAUAAUACCGUGAGAAAUUAAAUUAAAAAGGCAACAAAAAAGGUGUCUUGUGAUUUUUCAAUUAAAUCAUUUUUUCUGGUAGAAACGUCGUCCGUGUUUUUAUAAAAUAAUGAAAUCGUGAAAUUGUACAUUUUUCUACGUUUUUAUUUAAAAAACGAUGUCAGAAAUCAAAAAAUGACCCCUUUAAAGUACAAUGUAAAUAAUUUAAGCUUUCAGAAAAGUUGCUAUACGUAAAAAUUUGAGCAAGUUUACUUGAAAAAAACGUGUCUACAGACUAAAAUAAAAAAAAGAAAUAAACAUCUUAGUAAAACCAAUAGUUCCCUCGCUACGCUCGGAAUCUAAUACGAAAACGGAACGAUGACGAUAAAUCAAAGCAAAUACAUUUUUCAAACAUGUCUGCUCAAUGUUAUAAAACAGUAGCGGUUGACGAGCUGUCCCGGCGAAUCAGUCCGAAAAAAAAUAAAUAAAAGACAACAUUCCAAUACUAUCUUUAUAUACCGUCAUCAUCUUGUAUACGCCGUAAGUACGUUAUUCCCCUCUCUCCGUUGCUCAUAACGAUUUAAUCUCGGCUGUGAUUUCGUCGCAUUUAAAAGGGAUUACGGCGGUGCGAGUAAAACGCGAGAAAAUAAUAAUAUUAUCAUUAAACAUUACGCCAACAGCUUUAUAAAUAAACCAUCUCAAUAAUAAGCCGUUAAAGAUAAGUGAUAACGCGCGUGUGAGAUAACACGUGUGAGCUGCAGUGCUAUGGCGUUUCGAACUUGGCGAAUUCCGCAGUAUCAUUGCUCGCACAAUUCACAUUCGCACGCGUCGGCGUAAAUUUAAAUUGUGUUCUACAACGUCCGAACGGUUUUCACGACCUCUCUACGUGUUGUACGAGGAAUUAAAAAACAAUAACGAAUAUAUUAUAAUUGAAUACUGCCGAGAGGUUACAAUAAUAUUGUCUUAUGCCGCGGUAUGCUUUUAGAAUAAGGUUCUUUUUCGUCGGGCACACGCGAUGCAUUUGGUCAUAAUAAACAUCAACCAGAUCUCUGGCCUCUCGAUGUUUGUACAUUCAAUCUUAUCUUCCUUAUAUUAUACGUGGUAUUUUCUUCCUGCCUCAUAGGCGAUUUACACGUUUUUUUUUUUUUUGUUUUUUUUUACAUUAAUAAGCUGUAUGCAAUUGAGUAAUAUAAACACUUUUUUCACACUGAUUAGACCGAAAUAUAUAUCUACUUUUUCGUAGCCAAAUAAACUGUUUAGUGAAAAAAAGCAUUGCAAAAUUCGUAAUUGGUUAAGGUAUGAUUGGGACAGACAAAUACGGUCAAAAUCUUACGCUACUUAAAAAACGGUUUAAAGCGCUCGCGAAAAAAAUCACUUUAUGACACACUAGUAUCUGAGUUACUGUCAAUCAAUUCGAUUUAAUUUUUAAGCCAAAAAAAAAAUUGUACGUAUAAAGUCCGACGAUAGACGUAUUAAUUCUUCCGACGGGCAUUUAUCGCGUCUCGGGUGCCUUUCCGUCCCGGUGCUGUCCGGAGUUUAUGGGUUUAUACGGUUCUAUUUAGUAAUACGCGAUGAGUUAUCGAAAUAUUAUUUGUCGAGUAUACACACCGAUUGACGACGGAGAUCGAUAUAAUAUUCUUAUAUAAAAUGAAGCAAAAAUAUAUUAAAUAAAAAGGUUUUUCGGCGGGAUAUACGCCGCUGCGGCGGUUUAUACUCUAAAAAAAUUUACAGAACAAUUAAAGAACGCCAAGAAAAAGUUUUACGAUUACAGUUUCUUUUAUUUUUAUUAUUAUUAUUAUUAUUAUUUUUUUUUUUUUUUUUAAUAACCGCAAAAGCUCCGGUUCAGCAUAAUUAAAAGUAUAGGAGGGAAAAAACGAACGAACGGAGACCGAAAUAUGUUUAUUAACCAUAGAAGGGGUUCUUCGCAGCUCGUUUUUUAAUCCCCAUAAGCCGCGCAUACCUAAUGGGUUUCUUUUCAUCGGUUUCAAUUUUGUAUUACUAUUAUUAUUAUUAUUCAAACCUUCAUUUGGGCAAAAAGCAGCAAUCGACCGGAUACGGAGACUAUUAUUUCAGCGGUGCGCCGAGCAGAAGGCGCCCGGCAACGGAACGAUAAUAUUAUACUAUAACUGUUUUUAAUAUAAAUAUACUACACUCGCGGACGAAAAUGAAAACGGUAGAGAGAGGAGGGAGGAGAGAGAAACCACCGAAGGAAAAAAACUUACUUAAAUAAUAACUGCAGAGAGCGCAAUAACCGGAGAGCAAAUAUUUGGCCGGAUUUUGUUAGUAUUUUUAACGAUAUAAUAUCUGGAAUAUUGGACGACGACGGCGAAAAGAAAAAAUAGACGUCCGCGUUUGUCUACGUAGCGAAAUUCACAUAUACGAUAUCGGAACGUUUUUAUUUUUUCCCGUCGUCUCUUUUAUUAUAUAUAUAUAUAUAAUAUAGGUGUGUGUAGUACAUCGUUAGUUACGCGAGAGAGUUUAAAAAAAAACCCUCACGUCAUUGUUGACUUUUGUCAUAUACAUUUAAUACUACGUGUAUAUAUAUAAGAAACUUUCGUCCGCAUACCUAUAGAGAGGAUGAGUUAUGACACGGCCGACCGUUCAACCGUUCGUUAAUUUCUUUAGGGGAGAAUCGUAUAUAGGAGACACUUUUUCCCUCCACCCGAUCGAGGUGAAAAAAAAAUAUAAGCCAGUGGAUUCACGAAAGAGGAAAAUGACGAGACUAGAUUUCGAGUGAGUGUAUAUAUCUAUAAUAUACGAGUAUACAGUGCGCAGGGUUCAGGGCUAAUGGCAAAUCGAUGAUUUUCGCCGACGACGAGAGAAAAAUACCGUCGUCCGAUAAUAAUUUCUCCAGUACCCCCGAUAUACCAUCAUCAUCAUCCGUCCGUGUGUCCUUUAUUUUUCUUUCGCCGCGGCACGUCGUUAAUACGAUCCGAUAAAAUAAAAUAAAAAAAAAAAAAACUCAAAAAAGUAUAUUGUAGCCGUAUACGUAUAUUGUAUACUCUACUAUAUUUUUUAAUAACUUUCAUCGAUCGUUCGCAACAGCAGCAGCAGCAGUCUAUGUUGCAAAUCCCGCGAAAAACCGAAUUGAAAUUAUUUUUAAUAGGCUAUUUUUUAUCAGCGCGGUUGGCGGUCGGGGAAAAAAAUAACCGCGCGUUCUUCAAAGUCCACAUUAUCGAUUUUUAUAAUAAUUUAAUUUUAAUUUUUUUUUUUUUUAUAAUACUAUUGUACUAUACAAACGAGAAAUACUGUUUUCUUUCUUUCUAUUUAUUGUUGUAUGCAUAUGGAAUCAUUUAUCGUUUAUUUUCACUCUUGGUGUGUUAUAUUAUAGUUUGUUAUUCCUAAUUUGUAUUUUCUUAGAAUAAAAAUAAUCGUUUUUAAAAGACCGUACAAAAUAAACAACGCCGUCGAACGUAACCCCCUUAGACCAAAUAAAAUGAAUUGUCAAAGAUUUUUUUUUUUUUUUUUACGAAUGAACUGAAUACCGUUUAUAUUUUAAACAUAUUUCAAGUGAAGCAUAAUAUUAUACAUUGUGUAAUUCAAAUGACUAAUAUAAACUGCAGAUAUCUGACGGAAAGACAUUAAGGAGCAGAGAAACUGAAGAGUCCGAAAAAAUAAAGAAUUAUAUAGAACACCAUUGUCUGAGAGCUAACGUAUCGUAUACGAAUUGUGUUUAAAAGACGAUUACUACAAUGGUCAGACAAAUGGUGGUUCGAGGAGGUCUAAAGAAGGAUAGCUGAAAAAGUCGGUUCGAUUCGGAGAUCCUGAAGGUGAAAUGUCUAUUAGGACAUCAUCUGCGUGCGCAAGACUAGAUGAGCUGAUAUGAAGUAAAGAUAAAAGAGCAAGGGAUGCAUUAAAGACACAUAUGGAGAUCGUUGGCAUGCAUUUUUAUUGUGAGUAUAUAUGAUCUUUAAGGCCGUAAAAAAAAAAAUAACGAAAAUAAGAUGAUAAAUAUUUCAUACAAGUAUGUAUGAAGUAUAUAAGUAUACAAGUAUACAAGUAUAUAAUAUUGUUAGUUGGGCGCGCAAUAUACAACGGAAAUCCCAUCGAAAACCAGUCUCCAAUAGCCUCUUCUUUUUUACGACUUUGAAAUAUUCGUUUACCGCAGAAGCCCACUAAGUAUCGUCGUAUAAAAUAAUGUGUUUUUUUAUUUUAUUAUUAUUGAUUAUCUCAAUCAUCUCAUCUCUAUACUCAGAGGGAUACUGAAAUUAGCGAUUCAUUUAAAAUGCGAUUUUUCUUUUCCAUACACAAAUAUACUCAGUCUUAUCGAAAUUACUUAUUUUUAAUUAUGUCUACUUUAAUAUUGUUCGAAUAAUUAUAAGAAACAAGACACUAUAUAUAUAUAUAUAUAUAAUUACAGAAACCCGCCAUACGUACAAAAUAUGCUAUAGUGUUGAAACGGUACCGGUGUCUGUAAGAAUGAGUAGUCGAGUAUUUUUAAUAAUUUUCGGAAGUUCAAAGAAAACUGCAGUAAUGAUUAUUGAUUAUUUCAAGUAAUGAAAAGGCGGUCGUAGGACCUCCCGAUGAAAGCAAUUCGUUUCGUUGUUCGUACCAACAAAAUUAAACGAUAUUGUUUUUUCUAAACAUUUGAAGGAGUUACGUAUACACGGUGAAACCAAUGCGUUGUACGAACAUCUAGUAAAUGUUACAUGUCUAUCAAAACGGAAUCGUCGUGAUCAGUUGCGAGCUCGAAGUACGCGGAUUCGGCCGUGGACUUUAAUGCCCGGCUUUACCACUCUGUAAUACUCAUGUUUUCGAUAAUUGCGCGCGGAAACCCACCGCCGUCAACGACAGACUAUUAUUAUAAUGAUAAUAAUAACAUAUAAACUCGCGUGCAAACGAGACUCGACACUUGUUUUUUUAUUUCCAUAUUUCCGGUUUUUUUUUUUGGUUUUUUUUUGUUGAUAACGAGCUGUCGUUUUCAGUCGUUUCCGCGAAUUCGUCAAUAUCGGUACCUCUCGGCGGUAUUUAGCCAAAAAUACAAGUAAAAAAAAAAAUCCCCCUUAACUAUAGUCUGUGUCUUGCUGCAGGGGUAGUGGAGCUCGAAAACCUCCCCGAAAAUAAUAAUAAAAAGAAACCCAAGCAAAACGAGUACACUCUUUGAAAAAAGGUAAUAGCAGCGGUCGUGUCGUAUCGUACGGAAGGAGCCAUGUUUGAGUUAUGUGACACACACGACGCACACGCGAACCGAAUACUCUUUCUCUCUAUCUGUGCGCAUAAAACUGUCGAUGGAAAUAGUGAUAAUAAAAUAAAAGAAGAAGUAUAGAGAAAAAAAAAAUACUUAAGAGCUCGAACAGACAACAUAUAAUAUUUAUAAGUGUCGAAUAUUGCUGCGGGCACGGGGUUAAAAGCGAGAGGGGGAAAAAAGGUUUUCGGAGAUGUUUUUUAUACAUAUAUAUAUUUGUAUACAUAUUUUAUUAUUAUUUUUUUUUUUUAUGAAAACCUUCGCGCGCAUAAACCAAGAAAAAACAAACACACACAUCGGGAGGGGGGGGAGAAAUGCACCCUGUUCGAGUAUAAUAUAAUAUAACGCACCCCUGCCCGGGAGAUUGUUUUUUAUUAAAAAAAAAAACCAAAACAAAACAGAAUAAUAACAAAAAAAAAUGUCGAGGUUGUGUUUCCGUUUUCUAGGGUUUUGUCGGACCAAUCUGAAAAGGUCCCUGCGGCGACGACGAGUUAUUAUUCUUCUUUUAUUCGUGACAUUAUUGAAAUUUAAAUAAAUAUCGUCUUAAACGCGCGCGCGCGUGUGUGUGUGUGUGUGUGUGUGUGCGAUAUUAUAAUAAUAUUACGUGUUUACUCGAUACCGCAACGUAAUGUCGAACACGUGCGCAGUAUCCGGUUCGCCUAAAAUCGACCGCCGCGGUGUUAUAUUAUCGUUCGACACGGCAUUCGGAUAUAUGACAAUAACACACACCGAUUCGAUUGUAUGCGUGUUUUUAUUAUCAUUAUUAUUUUUAAUAUUAUUUUACAUGGGUAAAGAAGAGAAAAGGAUAGAAAAAAAAAAAAAACAGAAAAAGAGAUACUCACCUAAAGCGUUUCGAUUACGGAACGAUGCGCGGCGGUGAUAAUACGACACGGUUCGGACGGGCCGGGCGGCGGACAGAGAAUAUUUUAUUUUGUACAUAAAACGCGGCCGACGUAUAAAAUCAAUCGCGUGCAUUAUUUAAUGCGAAAUGAAAAAUAAAAAAUAAAAAUGAAUAAACUCGGCCCCGCCGCACCGAAAGAACCUUUGACAUGUAAAACGUGACUUUGAAUCGCGUUCUGGCGGUAUAUAGUUUUUUUUUUUUUUAUUGUCGAUAGAUAAAAACGCGUUUUAAAUUAUCGUUAUUACAUUGUGUUUUCUCGACACAGUAUAUUGUUAUAUUCCACGCGAGUACCCGUCGACGUUUUCCUAUCCGUUUUGGUCUGUUGAAAUAUAUUCGGCGGCUAAAUUGCACGUGAGAAAAUACACACGUAAUAAUGUGUAGGAUGAUUUAGUUUGUAUAAUUUGCUCGUGUACUGUAAUUAAAACGUACGACAGCGGAGACAGUGGUUGAUGGAGACUGGAAUCGACAAGGAAAAAACGACGGGUACGCUCGGAGGACGGAGGAUCGGACGGAUAGGUCUCGCGACGCCUUACACCCGCGAGGAGAGGGAAGGGCGCCACUCGUCCACUGGCCGUAUAAUGUGACGAUAAAUUCUGAGCGGUGAUUUCGUGUUUUUAUUUUGAUAGAUAAUUUGAUAACGAUAAUAAACGCGUUUCGUGUAACGGUAAAACGAUUGUCAAAUAACACGACAUUGGGUUAUUGUAUACUUUACGAGACAAAUAUUACGUUAUGACAGCUCCCGCAACACAUUCGGCCGUGAUAGUUUUGAUUUAUUAUUUUCGAAAUAAAAAAAAAACAAACAUCGCAAUCGUUUUUAUAUCGUCAACGCGAUAUUAUAAUAUUUUUUAUUAUCGUCGCAGACGUCUACGUGUAAAACGUAUUACGCGUUUAAUAAUAUUGUAUUCUUAUGGGAGGUACAAUAAUAAUAGUAAAAUACAUUUGGAAAUCCGGACCUAUUGUCCAGAAAUUAUGUUAUUUGAAUGAUAAAAGACGAAACGACAAAAAAAAUAAUAAUAAUAAUAACGAAAAUGCAGCAAGUACAUAAAUAAUCCAUUACCGACAUUAACAAGUCGAACCUUCGUGCUGAGCGUAUUAUAACGCGACAUACGUGUAAGUGAAAAGGUCUUCGGCGCGGUCAUAUCCGCGAACGUUUCGACGUUUGAAUGUUACAACGUUAUUUUCGAAAACCGGAGAUCGUUGAGUGUUCGGGCGUUUUAGAUUCUGAGUGCUACGAAAAUAUGUAUAUUGGACUUUAUACUGAUAAGCGUGCUGUUUUGUUUUUUACAUUUUUUUCUGUCUUUAAUCGACUUUUCUACCAGUGAUCCCGCUCCGGAUUUCGGAUUCAGCAUCUUUUCCCCGCGAAACGUAUUGUCUAGCAUUCUAGUCCGUGCUUUGGAAGGCCGGUUUUUGAUUCUUCUUUUUUUUUUUUUUUUUUUUGGUAGUUUUCUUAUUUAUGUUUAUACAUUUUUAUCAGUUUUAGUCAUGUACGAUUAUACGGUGUAUCGAACAGAGUAUAUUAUUACAUUGAAUCCCGAGUGUCCCAGCCAAAUUUUUGGCGUUCAGUCGGGUCCAGUGUAUUCUCUGUCACGGUAUUAGGAUUUGUUGUAAAUCGUGCCUAUCAGUAAACAUAUAAAGGUCGACGGGGUAAUGCGGAGUAGUUGUUUUUUUUUUUUUUUUUUUUUUUUUUUUUUUGAAAUUUCGACGAAAAUCAUGGAGUUUCGAAACGUGUAAUUCGUAUCGCGUUUUAAAUCGAACUCCGCUCGGAAUUCACGAACCGAAUCUGCGCCCCGGUAACAUAAUACAGUAGUACGUGUUGUGAAAAUUCUGUGCGAACCCACGAAACGUACCGAUACGUUCAGUGUAAUCGACGGCAGUAUAGAAAAACCCGCACGCAUUUCGCACCUAAUGGAUUUUCGUCGCGCGAAAACGAAACUCGGAUCGGCAAGGCGCGCUCGACACUCGCGUUAUAAAUAAUUCGUAUUAAUAAAUAGACCGGCAGUCAGGGAGGAAGAUUUUUUUACCGGUUUUUUUUUUUUUUUUUUUUUUUUUUUUUUUUUUUACGACUGCGGGAACGGGUAAAACGAUAUUAUGCGGCGGCGAAAGAGUAAUAGAUAUAGGUACACGUUUCCCCUCUGUCCCCUCGCCACCUCGUCACACAGACGGCGGCUCGUCAAAAAGGUGCCGCCGUUUCCGAUCAACGAGAUUUAUAUAUUAUUAUCGUAUUAUUAUUAUUAUUAUUAUUAUUAUCAUUGUCGUUAUAUUUAUUACCGUCGCGUCGCAUGCGGUGGCGGCACUUAUUUUUUCGUAUAUACACACCGAUUUGAUGAUUGUCUGCGGGCCACGUGUUCGGCCCGCGUGCGUGUGCAUGUGUAUGUGUGCGUGUGUACGCGCGUAUACACAGCACCGAGUAUAUAUAAUAUGGUUUCGGAGGAAGGAAAGAGAGAAAAAAAAAAUGGAAAAAAAAUCUUUAACGAGACUGCCGGUAAUCAAUCAACGCAACGACAAGACGCGUAUAAACGUAUAUACAUAUACGAUAUAUGUGAACAUAUAUGCGCUAUCGAGGUUGACAUAUUAUAUUUUGUAUACAGGGUGGUUUUAUUAUUAUUGUCAUUAUUGUCAUCCGUGAUUCAGUAACGAUCGCGUCCGCCGAAAAUAUCGAGUAAAACAGAUUUCCAUCUGUUGUUUUAUUGAAUCGCACACUCACUCAAUAAUUUCAACAUUUCGCCAUGGUAUACUCGCGGUACGUAGGCACGGUGCAUGGUACGGAAACCGAAUUCGGGCAGGGAUAUCGGAAUUUAUCCAUAGGCCACUCGAAAUUCACCGUCCCCCCAACCAAAUACCGAUACAUUGUUCUAUAUAGCUACGUUUGUAUUCGUCAUUCGGAGCCUACGAACUAUAUAAAAAGUAAAAUUAGUUUUUACAAUUAAACUCGAUGUUUACAACUCUAAUUUGUUGGGCCAGCUUCGCUACAGAAUCUGUUGAUAUAAACGACUUAAAUUCAUAGAAAUAACAAACAAAUCAAUCAAUCUGUGUAAUUUUAAAACUGUUAACUAGACAAUAGUCCAGGCCAUCCGGAAAAUCCCCACGUUCAGACCUGCCACUCUCCCCCCGACCUUAAACACAAUAUAUCGAUUUUCAACGCGCAUUCGAAAGAGAAUAUGCAUAUUUGUCUAAACAUUUUGAUAUGCUCAACCCUGUAUGAUAUGCAUGAUUCAUGAGCUAUAACAAAUUAGGAUUUAGUCCGCGGUGGAGUAUAGGAGAUUUAUCAAUAUGAGUCAAUACGGUUUUAUUCGUUUAUUCAUGCAUUUAUCAAUAUCAUCUCAACUGAUAUGCAAUUUAUUAGCCGAGUAUUUAAUUACAACUAGAUAUAUAGAAUUAACUUUAGAAUUGUUCAUGAUAUGAUCGACAUUUUCGAAAAUCAACAUGCACUAUACUGUUGGAACAAAGCAAUUAUACAAUCCCAUAAAACAACGAUUGAGUAUAAAAAUUGGAAAUCGAAUUUAUUUCGAAUUCUUCGAGAAACGAUCGACGGAUUGAGAUAAAAAAAAAUAUAUAUAUAUCAUCGUCCUGUAUGUAACAUUAUUAUCCGGAGUCGGCGACAGCGUUUUCGUCUAUCGAGUUCGGAAUUUUUUUCAUUUCUUCUCGUCUUCUCGGUCCUUUUAUCUUUACCGGUCGUCGAAGCGUGCACCGUACCGGAGUACGUUCGUCGCUCCUACGUUCGCUCCUCGUCGCUCCUCGUACGUUGGCUGUCGGACCCUCUCUGCCGAGAAAAACCUACCGAAAAACAUCCUGAAAAAAUUUAACGUAAUAUUUGCGGCUAUCGCCUAAAAAUAUGCUCGACAGUAUCAAUCCUAUAAUACACUUCUACGGGACCGUCUCUCGUCAAAAAUGUCCACGUCGCUCUCAACGAAAUUUCUUCUCGGCCUACGUCGCUUCGUCAGCCGCGUUACUUUGGAAAUCCGUUAGCGCUCGUCCGAUACGUUCGGAACAAUAAUCGAACAGUAAUUACACAUUUUAACGUUAAAAAUAAACGCGCAUUAUGACGAAAUAAAAACGUGUUUCUGAAGCGCGCUGCUAAAAUAUUACGCGCGCGAGCGUGACGGGAAAAUGGCGAUCAAAAUUUUCCGGUGAUCUUUUCCAGACACGACAAACCGUCGGAAAACGAAUAAUCGUACGAAUAUUUUAAAUUUUUAUAUAUAUAUAUAUGUGUAUACAUGCACGUAUUUUCGUUUCCUAAUAAUUGAAAUUCGUGACAGUGAAUAUUUUAUCGCCGAACUAAAAAAUACAAAAAAAAAACCAGCAUACUUCGCGAUUUGUUAAUAGAAAAUUAUUACUCAUACGCGUAGAACUAUAAAUACGUACAUAAUUUAUUCAUACCGCAGUUCGUCCCCGCGACCGGGCGGCAAACUUUCCCUAUACUCGGCUCUCGUUAAUAUUCAAUAAGUUCCGGGAAAUUGUACUUUUGAUUUGCAGACGACGACGUCGAAAACGGUACCGACCGAACGACCAAAUAUUACCGUAUAAGUAUUUACGACGAGGCUAAUAAUAAUGAAGUAGCUGUAUAAAAUAUAAGGUAGUCGGAGUAGCGAUUCGAGUUUUAUACGCACCGACCAUAAUGAACAUCGCGGAGUUGCGAUGUGUCAUAACGAAAUAAAACGUAAACGGUUUGUGAAAAACCGUGACGUCAGUCAUUCAGAGCCAACCGAACUGGCGAGUGGGUAGGGCUGAAAUCGCGAUGAGAAGUAGGUAUUUUUGAGGUAUUGGUUUUUGAACAUCGCAUCAAUUAUGAUAUUUUACUCAUUUCGAGACAAUAAUUUUAGAUUUCGGAAUCCGGAUUUGUCCUGUCACUUGCAGUAUAUCUUUUCAAAGUGUAAAACCGUAAUUUUGUCAAAUAUAAUCAAAAGGAAAAAAAAAUAGAAAUACAAAACGCAUUUUUCGUCGAAAAAUCGGUUUGAAAAUAAUAUUCAGUUAUAAUGUAUAGCCGAGUGAGAUUCGGUUUUUUGAAUAUUAUAUGUACAAAUCACACGCGUCGUUGUCGUCGCUUUGAUGUCGUCGUUGUCACUUUGAUGCGGUCGGAAGAUAGACAACGGGCUUGACGCGUUCGUUCGUUUACAGCUAUAACCAUUACUAAUUUGUGUGUUUACGUAUACGUAUAUGGCUAAAGUUGUUAAAACGACAGUGACGACGCCGAUUUGUAUAAAUCCGAAUAUUUUUAUUGCGACUAAAUAAAAUUGUUAUUGUAGUUCGACUUCUUUCUGCGCGUUUUACAUUUUACGACACGCGCACAAUGUCGCGUUUGAAAAAAAAAAUAAACUCCACUUCUUACUUUAUGACAUUUGUUUGAUUUUUUCAUAGCGGGUUUACUGUAAUUCGUAAGGACGUAGUGUGUCUCUUGAUUUUGAAUUUUCGGUAUGCUUAAUAAAGAUCCGAAUUCCCUUUUAAAUGUCACUGUGCCAGUGACGUUAGUCAUCAUCAUUUUUUAACAAAACCGAGAAAAAAUGUAUAGAGUAGGUACUUUUAUAUAAUCGAAUUUAUAAAUGUACGCAGCGAUAAAAUGAUUCCGAAUAAAGUUUGGUUUAACGUGUUCUGAAAUUUUACGAUUUGUGCGAUUUUCAUAAAAAUUAAAUCCUUAUGAAAAAUUAACUAAACUACGCUUAUUUUUUUUUUUUUUUUUUUUUUUGAGUCUAUGUCUAAGCCAUUUAAAACGCCAUAUUUAUAGGGCAUUUCUGUUCGACCACAAUAAUAUCUUUUGCAAAAAACCAAAUAAAAACUUAAAAAAAUACAUCUUAACCAUUCGUUUACACUAAUAAUCUCCGAUAAAGUCGUAGGAAAUACCACUGUGCAGAACAGAAGGGAUCAAAGUCCUUUCAAGUCAAUUUUUGGGAUUAUUUUUUUAUAAUUUUGUCUUGCGUAUUUUUUUGUUUUUUUUUGUUUUUGAGUCUAUGUCUAAGCCAUUUAAAACGCCAUAUUUAUAGGUUAGACCAUUUAACAAUAUCAUGCCGUUAUGUUAUUAAGCUAUUUUCAGAAUUUAAUGCAUUUCCAUUGAAAACUAUACAAAUUUGACUCGAGCGACCUGAGCUUUCUUUCCCUGGAACCAAAGAAAUCGUUAUUUUAUGUUUACUUGGUUUUUCUUUUUUUUUUUUAGAAAUAUCAUGCUUAAAAAAACAUAUUAUAUUGUUCCACGACUAAUAGUAACUUUUUAUCGAGUUAUUUAAAUCGAUCCCACGGAAUUUCGGUUAACGUUAUGCUCGGUAAAUCUUUUGGAAAUUAAAAAAAGAAUAAAAACAAAAAUGAUACUGUGAAAGACGCGCAGGAAGACAUUGUAUUAAGUCAUCAUUGUUUUAGACUUUGUUUUAUUAAUAUAUCGUUUUUUAUUGUUCCUAACGGUAAUAAAUCAGUACGGUUACAGUAGCGUAUUAUGAUAUUAGUACGCAUGAUGAUAAUAAUAUUGUAUUACAAUAUAAUAUAGUGCGUAAUAAUAUACGGGAGUAAAAACAUAAAUCUCAUCUCGUUAUCCAGCAUAUAGGCGUAUAGCAAUACUAUUAAGAUAAUAAUAUGUAUGAGAACCAAAGCAUAAUAAUAAUCGACUGAUAAUGAUUAUUGGAUUCUCCGAGCAGGUAUACGUAAACUAUACUACUCCAGAUUAAUCAAUCGGACGUUCGUUGUAAUAUUUUUAAUAUCGAAUAAAUAACGAAAAACCGGAGAUAGUUCACACCGCGGGUCGGUGCCGACACUGCCGUCGGUGGGAAAUUUCGAUAAACUACCGACGUUCUAACAUUGAUUUAUAAAUGAUAUUGAUUUCUACUAUACGAUGUGUGUUUUGCCGCGCGCGUGUAUCCGCAAAUAACUUCUCUAUACUAGAAAUAUCGCUCCAAAUCUCCAAUCGAAAACUUUAAAGGAGCUUUUUUUUUUUUUUUAUGUAGUAUUUUCGGUCUAGUCUGUGCAUUUAGGAAGUAGUCGUAUUUGAUUUUCCUUGUAGUUUUCUUUGUAAAAGAGGGGAGGAGAGUAAAACAGCAAUUUGUCUUCGAUCUUUGUUCAUAUCUGGGUUACUUUGGCAACAAUGGAAAAAUUACGACUAAUAAUACUCGGCUCGGAAUCGGUUUUCGUUACCUACGGUUUGUCGUUGUGUACAGCUAAAAAUUAAAUUACCUCUAUAUUAAUUCCGCCCUCACGACUUGCCGCCUCGUAACGGCGGUACGCCCAUCAGAGAUAUCCGCUUUCCUCCUCCCCCCCUUGUAGCUAUUAAAAUAGUUAGUCCUGCAGAAAUCGACCGAAAGAAAACACCGAAGGGUCGCAAUAUUUGUUUUAAUAUUUUCGAAAAACCGUUUUCGAGUUUAGAAAUAUUGAUGAUUUCGAAUAAAGUGCCGUCCAACAGAAAUUCCGCGUUUUUCGGGUACGAAAAAUAAAAAACGCUCAGAAUCUGGGAACUAAUAAUAGGACAGACAUUUUUCAAACACAUAUAUUUGCACAUUUUUCUAACGGUAUUUGUUUUAUUUUUUUGUUGCAGGUAAUUUUGGAUAAUCAAGAACGGCAUGCAGCGCGUAUUCAUUCGUACAAUAACCUCGCCGCGACCAGCCACGUCGCCGCCGCCGUGAUCGGAGGGACUAAAAUUUCGCCCCCGGAACGUUUUUCAUGUAAUUUCGAACCGCGCGAUAUCUGCUGCCGAACAUAAAUCACUUGUUUUUAACGGUUCGAUUACUUAAGCGCCACUCGUUCCUUUUACCGUCGAUAUGUUAUUAU